rnacentral:sRNA from 1 species
AUUGGAGUUGGCCUGAGUGAUAUGUAUUCUUUUACCCACUUGGCAUGACUCUUUGUAGAUUCAAUUGCUGAAACAUGCAUGCCUUUGCUCAUGGGACACAGCCAUGGAUUUCACUGGGAGUGUCUUGUAAUAUGUGGUAUAUGCUCUAAAUCUCUUUCUAAAAUCUGAAAUAUUCUGAAUUCCACAAGCUCAUCUGGCCUCCAGGUUUUUGAACAAGGAACUGUGAAUCUGUUUUUAGGGUGAGGAAGGCCAGAACUUACUUGCAGAGAGCAGGGUGGGAAAGAUUAGGGGGCACAUCAGAGAGGGGAUGGUUAGGGAGCUGAGUCCCAGAGUGGGCUUGAGAGGAGAGAAAAAAAAUGCACAGAGCUGUCUGGAUAAAAAGGAAAGACAGUUUUUUUUUUUUGCCUGGUGACCAGAACUGCACAGGUGAUGACUUUUGAAAAUGUAGAGUGAUUUUAAGAUGGCAAAAUGAAAACUGGGGGAAGACAUGGCCUCUAUCAGCUAGGGCCAGGAGGGCACAGCCUUUCUUCUUGUCACUACUCUCCACCCCUCCUAAGACCAGAAGCUCCAAAAGCAGGUUAGAGCAUGAAUCAGGAGAACUGCAUGCCCUGGGUUCAAGAACACCCUUGCAACACUCCCUUGUCUACAUCGUCAAGUCUGAAAUCACAGGGUGCCAGGCCUUCAGCAAGUUAAGAGAACUUAUACUUAGUGCCUGUAAAGCUCAGGGGUACCAGUGAGCGAGACUUCAAGUCUUGUGCAUGCUCAUUGCCAGACCCCCUUUGGCUUUUUGUAUAAAGAAGAGAGCUGCUCUUUAUUUCCGGGCUCAGUGGGCAGAAAGGAAUGCUCCGUCCAUACUCCGUUCGGCAAGUCAAGGGUGGACACUGGUGUCUUUAUCACCACCCAGUCCUCGGCCCACACUGGCAAGGCAUUCCUCUAGCAGACAAAAUAAAAGAUUGCUGAUAGCUGGAGCACUUUGUUUGCUUUCUAAAACGAGUCAAACUCUUCAAAAGCUUGGCUUGAACCGUGCAGGGUGUGCUGUGUUCCCGCCACAUUCCUCUCACCCGCCUCUCCACCAGGCCUUGUAUUAUCCGGAUUCCUUUCAUGCGCUCACGAGCGCCAGCUGGCGGCUGCUUGGGCUGGCCGGACAGGCCAGAGGCUCUGGGCCCGGGGCCUGCUGGACAUUGGCCGGCCUCAGCUGAUGAGGGCAGCGGGGCACGGGAGGGAGGCCUUCUUGGAGGGCUGGGUCAGCUGGGCUCUUUUAAGGCACAAGGGGGAGAAAAUGCAUCUCCAACCCCUGAAGAAAUGAGGUACCCUGGGCAUUACUAGUGGCCAUUUGGUGUUUAAAACACUCCCUUCUCCCCCAUUGUGUACUGUCCCUACCUCCGCCCCCGGAGCUAUGCUGGAUGGCUGGUGUGGAAGAUGGCUUCCGGAGGCCAGUGUGCGCUGGAGAAUGGCAAAGCUCGGAAGUAGAUUGGAAACAGAAAAUCCAGCCCAUCUAGGAAGCUAGGGCACACAAUCCAUAAGCCUUUUCUGCUUAGUCCAACUAGACAAUAGCAAGACGUGGAGAGGGGAAGAGGGCUACAAAGUCGCAUCAUAUCACAUGAUGUCAUGCCAUGGCAAGUAGGAAAGAUCAUGUCUUAUACCACAUGACAUCACAUAGAAAGUGUAUGCCAGAGAAGUCAGGAAGACUUUUCAAAUGUAAGAACAUAUAGAGGAAGCACAAAGGUUAGCAAGAAGAAGACCUGAUGCCUUUGCUCCCCUUCAUUUAAUAGGUAGUAUGCACCAAGAUGAUUGUGUUUGGGCAGUGCCUCCGGAAAGAGGAGACGGCCACUCUCAUUUCAGCCAUGAGAGUCCAUUCCUGUUUAUUUGAUGUUGGCAGAUCACUUCAACCUUUGUAAAAAUCCACAGUGUGAAGUUUCUAUCAGCAGAAAAGAUUUCCAUGACAGUUUCAUAUAACAAGUUGUUUAUUUGGACAAACUAAAGCAUGUAAUAACAGAACACCUCACGGCUAGAGAAAACAGGAGAGAGAGGCUUUGCCAGGCAGCCUGCACAAUUUUACUAUUAAACUCCUUUUGUUCCACUGAACUCUAUGCCUUUACCUAGCUGGGGACACAUAAAUAGUAGAAAUGUGAACCUUGCACAAUUAUGGAGAUAAGCCUAAAUCUUUAUGCAUUUCUAAUUUUUCUUAUCACUUCACCUUUAAGUUAAUUCAUCCAAGUCUUUCAUGUAAAGAAAAUGCUAAAAUGGAGCGUCACAAUUGCUUGUCACAUUUCACUAGAGUCGAGUGAAUUUAUUUAACACCUAAUUUAAUCUGUCAACGUUUUUCAAUUCUUUGAAGAAAAAAAGGUAGUAAUUAAGUAUUCCAAAGUUAUAAUAACACUAAACAUCAAAACUUCACAAUCGCACAGUUUUUUAAACAUCAAGUUAAGAUAUUAGCCAUAGUCACUCCACUUAAGGUGGUCUGGCUAGGUUUUUAGUAGCACGGUAGUGACACGGUUUUACGUGUUCUAUUUCAUGGUUUAUCAAGAACUAAGAGGGGCCUAAGACAUCCCAUUUUAGCGCUUCACCCUUGGGAUAAUUAAAAGCCACCUCAAAGAGAUGGAAGGAAGCAGGAAGAGGGCUCAGUAGGAGUGGUGGUUGUAAGGGGCUGUACAGUGACAGCCUGCUCAAGCUCAGCUAAGUGGUAAGAGGCACCAGGUCCUCGUCAAGUCUUCACAGUGUGGAGACCCACCGCGUCGCUGUAACCUAGAAGAUCUAGAGAAACUGCUUCCAUUCUCUGCUGCCUAGCGCCCCACCCACCCCAGGCAGCUUGUCCUUGAGAGCGAAAUGAGUUAGGAGGGAACCAAAUGAGAAGAAAUUCAGGGAUCACGAGUCAAGGAGCUUUUUUAGAAGACACUACCCUCCACCUCCAUCUGCAGAAACAAAUUUCUUUUUUUUUUUUUUUUUUUUUGAGAUGAAGUCUCGCUCUGUCCCCAGGCUGGAGUGCAGUGGCUCGAUCUUGGCUCACUGAAAUCUCCGCCUCCCGGGUUCAAGCGAUUCUCCUGUCUCAUCGUCCCAAGUAGCUAGGACUACAGGUGUGCACCACCAUGCCCAGCUAAUUUUUGUAUUUUUAGUAGAGAUGGGGUUUCACCAUGUUGGCCAGGAUGGUCUCAAUCUCCUUACCUCAUGAUCCACCUGCCUCAGCCUCCCAAAGUGCUGGGAUUACAGGUGUGAGCCACCGUGCCUGGCCUAUUAUUUUUUUUAAUACGAACUUAACAAGUCUUUCAGAAAAUAGAAUGUAUUCCUAGGACACUGUUGCUAACGAGGUAGUUCGGGGUAAGGUCGGGUAGCCUUCAUGAGGUCUCUUGUGCCAAAAUAUUAGUGGAGGGAAAGUGAAUGAAAGCCCUAUUUCACAGUAUAUAAAGAAUCAAGCAUUAAAACUCUUUUGGGCUUUUCUCUAAUAAUAGACUUUCAUUCAUUCCAAGAGCUUGACCAGUUCAACAGAUAAAAGAGGUUUAUUGCCUUGAAGUGAGAGGAGCUCAUUCCCUUGCCUUCUGAGAAGUGGCUUAUUUGUCCCCCUGUUGAAUUCAGUGAAGGCAGUGUGCACAGACAAGACACAGGCUUUGAGAGGACAAAAGAUGGGGUUCAGUCACCUACAUAAGUGCAAAAUGGGCUACAACAAAAGAAAAGACAGAACCCUCUUCUAUAAAUUGCUCAAAAUCUCAUUGCGGAAAAGAAACUCUCACAAAAGAAACCAUGUAAGGGAAUACCAAGCACUAAAUGGUGUGUUAUAUACAUAAAACUGACUAGAGAGCAUAUGCAGAUUUUUUUUAUUUUUAUUUUUUUAGAGACAGGGUCUCACUCUGUCUCCCAGGCUGCAGUGCAGUGGCACAAACAUGGCACACUGCAGCGUUGACCUCCUGGGCUCAAGUGAUCCUCCCCCCUCAGCCUCCUAAGUAACUGAGACUAUAGGCAUGCACCACCACACCUGGUUAAUUUUUUUUAAUUUUUAUUUCUGUAGAGUUGGAGUCUUGCUAUAUUGCCCAGGCUGGUCUCAAACUCCUGGGCUCAAGCAAUCCUCCUGCCUUGGCCAACCAAAGUGCUAGGAUUACAAGUGUGAGCUACCGCACACAGCCAUGAAGAUCACUUUAAACGGGUAGAUUCCAUAGCCUCAUACUAAGCCUACUGCGGCUCAUACUUAAAGGAGAGAGGCCUAAGCAUUUCUAAUUGUUUCUUAAGGGAAAUUGGAUUUGGGAAGCAUAGACUUAGGCCACAGGUGACGGGAGUCCAGAGAUACAGAGGAAGAUUGGAGGGAGGAGAGCAACAAUGGAGAGAUUUUUCUAGGAAAGGUUUUAUAAAGAAGAUGGGGUACAAGCGGGAGGCACGAUAGGAUGUAGGUAAGCAGAGCCACGAAGUGGGGCAGAGUGAUGAAAGAAGAACUACAUACGCACAGGCUCCAACGUGCACGUGAGUAAGGGGUGUGUGCAUUUGUAUUUACACGGCUGCAUCAGCCCUCCUCACAACUCAAGAACAAUACCUGUUUCUCAGUUGAGCUUAGUCCCACGAGGGUGGAGACUCGACCUUAUUGAGCGGACAAACAUGUGCUCAGAUAACGAAGUGCAUUAAUUCAUUCAUUCAUAUGAAGAGAAUGGCAGCAAUAUAGCUCCAUGGUCAGGGCCACACAGACUCAGAAACCAGAAAGCCUGGGUUCAUAAACAAAAUGGGCCAUCACCCUGUAAGUUGGCGCAUGCUGUAGAACUUCUCCAGUCUUGGUUUUGUGAAGUGUAAAGUAAGAACAAUACAAGCUACCUCACAGGGCUGUUACGUGAGAUGAAUAUUAAAUGGACUCCUGCUUGUAAACAUCUGGCACAGGGCCUGGCACCUCGGAGGGUUUCGGUGAAGGCUGAAUGAACCAAGAGUCAGUUGUAUUGAAGGAGAAAACUCUCAAUGGCUGGUCUUUGAGGAGGUUUCUGGAGACUUGUAAAAGACUGGAAAAGUUGCUGCCUCCAAUUAUUUUUGAAAUAAGCUUGGUAUAUGUAGAUUGUUUUUAAAAACUAAUGUCAAACUAGAAAUGAUAAAACAUGGCCCUAGAAUGGUUCCUUUUUAGGACUGGGCUUGUUCCUCUGGUCUAGCACUCACUCAGCUUCCAGAUUGUUCCCCUGUAGAUGUGGAAAGAUCUAUACUUUAUUCUGAACUCAGGCAUAGAUGUACCUUGCACUAAUCUAGAGUGUGGGUCGGCAAACUUCUAGAGACAACCAAAUAAUACUUUUUCUUCUUCGGCUUUGGGGGCUUUGCCAUCUCUGUGGCAUGUGCUCAGAGUCUGCCAUUACAGCUCAAAAGACAUCCCUACAUGAAUAGGGAUGGCUGUGUUCCAAUAAAAUUUUAUUUAUAGACAUCGAAAUUUGAAUUUCACAUCAUUUUCAUGUCUCAUCUUUGGUUUUUUUCCCAACCACUUAAAAAUGUAAAAGCUAUUCUUGGCUCAUAGAUGCAGAACUAGCAACAGGCCUUGAGUUGGUUCUGAAAAGGUGCAUCCUAACACCAUUUUAAAUAAAUGGAAAACUCACUGCUAAACUCAAACACACGGGGGAAUAUGUCUUCCCUGUUCCCUUCCUGGGCACCAAACAGAACCUCAUGAUAAACAUACGUUCUUUGAAGUUACAUUUAUCUUCUUACUCAUUGAUGCUGCAAGCAUUUAUGCACCUCUAAGGUAUACAACAGGACAGGGGACACAGAUGAACAAGAUACCACCCUGUUCCCCAAGAACACACAUCGGAGCUGGGGAAACAGACAUCAACAAAUCAUUAUGAGACAACGUGGAAAGCCCUUAUAAUAGGGCCGUGUUCCAGUACAAUGGGGGCAUAGUGAAGGGAGGGAGGAAUUAGUUCUGAAAGGGCGAGGUGGGCAGGGUGGGGGUUGUAGACAAGGAUACACAAAAGGGUUAGUGUUGAGGCCAAACUUGACAGCAGAAGAGUGAAGGGGGGUCAUUCUCAGCAAAGGGGCCUGCCUGUGCAAGUCAGGAAGGUGCAAGUCCGUCUUGGAAUCAGUAAGUUCCCGGCAACCCCACACUCCCAAGUAUGGCUAGAGGGUGGGAUGGGGGUCGGCGGUAGAGGGAGAAAGAAAGGGUGGGUUCAGAUGGUGGUCCAUGCCAAAGUGUCCAGAUUUUGCUUGUUAAGCCAUUGAAGUGUCACUAGAGGUUUUUAAACACGGUAGUAAUGUGAUCGACUCUGUAUUCCAGGAAUUAAACACGUAGUGAGCAACGUGGAAGAUAGAUGACAGCAGUGAGAGAGUUAGGCAAAGAAACUAAAAAGAAAUCAUUAGAAUAGACCAGACCAAGAGAUUCAGGGGCCUGACCUCACCACCAAUUGCUGUUAUAACUCAAACUGGUGGGGCCCUGUGUGAGGCACUCAAUCUCUCUGAGCGACAGACAGCUCUGCCCUCUCUAUGAGUGGCUGGAUUAGGUGAUUUCCAAAGUCAUUUCCUGCCCUCACAUGCUCUUCACUCUUUGCCCUUCACUCUUAGAGAGCAGUCACGUGGGUUCAUUCCAAGUUGUCAACAGAAGUAUUUCUUCUUUCUAGCCUCCUCUUGAUUUUUUGCUGUAUUUAUGCCAGUGCCCAGUUGCAGCUGGAAAAUCAUUAGAAUGGCAUCCGGUGCCAUUUCCCUCACUCCUGCCUGCACAAGCAUCUGGAAGGAAGAGUGCUUGGUUGAAGAGCAGGCAGGCGGCAAGGAUGACAGGAGGGGAUGCCCACCGGAGUGCUGGCAAGUGCAGGAAGUGGAACCGGAGGCCCAGAGUUCUAGCCAAUUUCAGGAGGGUCUCUAUGGGAAUCCUAGGGCUGCUGCAUAAAUCAAUUACAUAGCCCAGUUUAAACAUCAUUUUUGCAUCUGAUAGUAAUAAAUGAGGAAGGGAAUUGUUUCUGUAUUCACUGAGACAAUUUGUGUUUCCCUGAAGAGUUUUAAGGGCAACAUACUAAAUGACACUAAUAAAGUAACAACUAUCUGCAUUAUUUAAGCUGCAUUAAGACCAGAGCUCAAUAUUUUAACUAGUAGCCUGCUGUCCUUGAGUGUUUAACAAACCGGAGAGAAACAGAUUACUCCCUGGUCAAAACACUGCAGAGGCUUCAUGUCACACUCAGGAAAAAAAUCCAAGCUCCCUACCACCUACCUCUCUGAGCUCAUCCUCUCCAUCCAGCCCUGUGUACCCCACGCUAAGCACACUAGACAGCUUGCUGCGCUUAGACACACUAAGCUCGUGCCUACUGCGGGCCCUUCCCCUGGGUCACUUCUGUCCGGAAUGCUCAUCCCCUAGAUCUCUGAGUGGCUGGAUCCCUGAAACUAUUCAGAUUUCUGCUUAAAUAUCAUCUCCUCAGAGGAGCUUCCCUGACCACUUUAUCUAAAAUAAUACACCUCCUGUCCCACCCUGGUCUGUUUUCCUCCAGCAAUUUUCCCUGCUUAAUUUUUCUUCAUAGCAUUUAUCACUGCAAAUCAUAUUAUACAUUCAUUUAAUUAUUUUCCUCAACUCUCACUAGACUGUAAGCUCCAUGAAGAUGGGAACUUUGUCUGGGCUACUGCUGUAUCCUCCCCUCCUAGAAAGGUACCUGGCACAUGCUAGGUGCUCUAGUGAUAACAGUUCAGUGAGAAAGCUGCCUUAUGAAAGAAUGGCACACAGAGAAGGGGUUCCUCCAACUUCUUCUGAAUGCCUACCACACUUAUCAACAGUAGUCUAAUAUUAAUACUAGUUAUAAUUAAUACAAUAAUUAAAUAAUAAUCUAUAGAAUAUAGCAAUAAUGUCAUAAAAUAUUAACAAAAUAUCAUAAAUCUGAUAUUAAUUAAAAUAAUAACUAAUAACAACAGUAAUAAGAACAAGCAACCAUUUAAGGUCUUACAAUGUAACAAGUACUAUUAAAUUCUAUCCACAUUAUCUUAUUUAAUCCUCAUUAUGAGGCUAGCAGGUAUUAUUAUUUUCUCUAUUUCAUACUGAAGGACAUCAAAAUUAAGAAGUUCAACUGGCCAGGCACAGUGGCCCACGCCUGUAAUCCCAGCACUUUGGGAGACUGAAGCAGGUAGAUCACCUGAGGUCAGGAGUUCGAGACCAGCCUGGCCAAUCUGGUGAAACCCCGUCUCUACUAAAAAUACAAAAAAUUAGCCAGGUAUGGUGGCAGACACAUGUAAUCCCAGCUACUCGGGAGGCUGAGGGAAUUGCUUGAACCAGAGAUGCGGGGAUUGCAGUGAGCCGAUAUUGCACCACUGCACUCCAGCCUGGGCAACAAGAAUGAAACUUUGUCUCAAAAAAAAAAAAAAAAAAAAUUAAAAAUGUUUUGAGGUUCCAGCACAGGUUUACCUGAUUCCAACACCCUUGUGCUUUCCUUUAGGCAGCUAACUAUAUACUGACCCAAGCCUUCUUGAAAUGAACUUCGGGUAGAUUACAUGUGUCUUACUUACCUUACAGGACAGAAACAGGAAAGCAGGAGGGCCACUAGCUAGAGAAUGAAAUUACAAAAAAACCCCAGCACAAACUUUAGGAAACUGUUUGAAAACAUUAAAAUAGGAUGGGACAGCACUCACUUACUCAAUGAUAUUCAUCAAACAAAACAGAAAAAGGAUUCAGCUUGACCACUUAGGAAGCCAAAGGAAUGUUAUCUAGAUCUCUUGGAGGCCGCAAGACUCAUCUUACAGAUGGGAAGGGCUUUGAAUCAUUGUCCUCCUUUAUCCAGGUAGACACCAAAAACAAUUUCCUGCAAACUAACGACUCUCCGGUCAGUCUGCAGGAUUCUUAAGGAGAUCGUUACAAUGCAAUAUGCUGCGUGCUUAAUUUGUGUUCAGAAAGGCCUUGCACAAUCACUCAGGCUUAUUUUUGCUCUAAGGACAAAUGAGGAGAAGCAAGGCCUAAUACAGGCUGGAACAGGUAUGUCAACCUCAUUAGGAUGGCCUGGGGGGUCAUGUCCCUGGAAUCAGUGCCACACUGAACUGCAAACUAACCUGCCAACCCUGUAUCUGGAAACCACUUUUGUAGGACAGCUGUUCUCUCAUUCCUUUUGCUUAGAUCAUAAAAGUAGAGUUUUCAUCCAUUGGGAAUUUGUGUGUUAGACGCGAAGGGAAUCAGAUUCUGAUCCAACUUGGUCAGGAAAAAAAAAAAUAAGGGCUGAUUUUUCCAUCCAAGUCAUGUAGUCUGGUUGGAGUGCAUCCCACUCAGGGACAGCUAUUGUCUGGAUUCACCGAGUCUCAGUCUUGCCCGGGAAAAAGGAAUUUUUCGCCUCACUGCUCUGUCCGUGAGAAGAGUUGCAGAAGGUGACCAUUUCUGUUUUCUGGGUGAUUCUCUUUCUCUAUAGAAAUCCUAAAAUGGAACCUUUAUAGAAAUUAUGUUCUGUGCUUCGCUGGAGAGAGACUGGUCUUUUUAACCAGGCUCAUCAAACAGUGGGCAUUUUCGUUCUCCUGGAUAAUAAGUGUUGGUGGGUUAAUGGGUCAUCCUCAGGACAGAGGUCAGAAGGAAAAACACUGCAGUGUUCAAAGCUGGAGCUAGAAAUGCCAGCCGUCAAAGAACACAGAACUCAGUGGACGGUGAUGAUGUAUAGGGCGUGCACUGGCCAACCCCAUCCGAGAGGUCACAUCUAACCUUUAUCCUCAGCAAAGCCACUGAAGGUCGCUCAAUAUGUGUGACCCGCAACUCUGAGGCCCUGGUGAGAAGCUGUCCAGGAAAACGCUGGUGCGUGUGCUAGAGGGUUCCUUUUCACUAAGGGAGAAUUGUCUUCCAGCUCCUUGCAGACUGACAUCGCAAAGUACUUUGAACGUUGAAAAGAACAAAAAAAGCAAACAGUCACACACACACAAAAAGUAGGCGGGAGGAGGGGGAAAGAAAAAGGGACAGAGAGAGAGAGAGGUAUCAGCAGGGGUGGUUAGUAAAAAGGGGCCCGGAGACAGAAAACCUUUUGUUCCCGGAGUUCGUUUCAUGUAGAGAUUGUGAGGUGAAUGGCUUUGAAACGAAAUGGGUUUAUGAAGGAGUUGCUAGGUCACAGGAAGCGCGACUGUCAGACUGCUUUUGUGAAUUCAGUUUCUUUAAAAUUUGGGUUAAUCUUAAAAAGAAUGUAUCUCCUUUUCCUGUUCUUUCUCUUUCUGUCUUCUUUUUUGGCGGGGGCGGGAGGACAGAGUAAGGUUCAGGACGGUUCCCCACUUUCUGUUUUAUUUUCCACCGUCUGAUAAAGCAAAAAGAAGCGAUCACAUUACAAGUUCUUUGUCAGUUUUUCAGAAUUAGGGGUGGGCAGGGCCUGAGCAUUACCUUGUCCCACUAGCCAAUGGCGGGGCGGCAUGCAAAUGAGGUCCGCGAUCAGCCUGCCUCAGUCACAACAGUGAGCUCAGAGACUUGAGGGAGGCGCUGCGACUGACAAGCGGCUCUGCCCGGGACCUUCUCGCUUUCAUCUAGCGCUGCACUCAAUGGAGGGGCGGGCACCGCAGUGCUUAAUGCUGUCUUAACUAGUGUAGGAAAACGGCUCAACCCACCGCUGCCGAAAUGAAGUAUAAGGUAAGAGAGUGCCUUUUACAGGUUACCUUGCAAGCUGAAAGCUGUGCCUGCGGGUGUGUGCUUGUGUAUGCGUGUUCCUUACUGUCAGUCCCUUGUGUGUCCCGGAGAGUUCUAAGAUGAGUCUCGGUCACUGAGGUUGACAUGCAAGCAGACAAGCAAGCAGAGACCCGGUCUUUGAGACCCACUCCAGGGGUUCACAGUACACCCGAGUCCAUCUGCUCUGAAAGUUGCCGGGGAAAUACCUCGGUGAGAAGUUAAGACUUGGAGCCGCUUCACAGCAGCCACUGGAGAUCAGAGGGUGUCUGACUUGAAUCGCGGCAGGCAUUGGCUCAAGUCUCCUUGGCUUCCCCAGGCCUGGCUUCCACUGCCCUGGGGAACUGUAAUGAGAGGAAUGAGGACUGCAUAGUCUGUCUCAGACUGGCUCUUAGUGCAAAGUUUUCCAGACUUUGCUUUAAUCGUUUGGUCUCGGAAGGAGUAUGCCAUAUGCACUUUUGGUGGGAGAAAUUAAAAGCCCAGAUUACACAGCUGAGGAUGGAAAAUUUUGACAUCCUUAUGUUAUAUUGGAUGUAGGAAUAAAUAAGUAUGAGCCAUUUCUUGAAAACAUUUUUAUUGGAGUUUGAAUGGGGUGAGAGUGCGAAGGCUCAGGCUGGCUCAUUGUGCCUGAAAGCUUACAGAGUGUCAUAGUCAUAGUACUUCAGCAGCAUUAUUUUCCAAUGCAUUUUACACCAUUGUUUGUGGAUUUUUCUUGCCAAAAGGAUUUUUGACUUGCUCCGUAUAUUCCCCCCUCCCCUUUUUCUUUUAAGUCACUCCCAUCUAAGGAGGCAAGCAGCUUCCAGGGGACACAAAGAAAGCAGACUGCAAUGAAUUGGACAUGAAUUUUUCUUGAAUGAUGAAUAGACAUGAGUGCUAGUGCUACUAUUUUAUUUUAUGCUAUUUUAAACAAAAGUGUUAUUAUUAAGAUGGAUUUGGGCAAGGGUGCUAGGCUUGUGGAUUGACAAUUUAUAUUAACUGUACACUAGCUGGAAGCUACUUCGCUUUUUUUCUAAAUUUUUCUGGUCCAUCCUUUUUUGAUGUAAGGUUGUAAAUACUUGGUCUAACUGAUAGCCACUGACUAGCCUCAGUAAUAAAGCUUUUGUUCAAAAACUAUGAAUCUUAUUCAAAAGCUUUAAGUCUAAAUGUCAAAAGUCUUUAUAGUAAUGCCUACGUUACCACUGUCUGAAGACACAGGUAUCAGCUAUUUCUGUUUCAUCAGCUUUCUAUUAUCUUCAUCAGUAGGGAAGAUCAGAGGAAAGGGUCAUCCUGAAGACUAUUAAUAUUUGACUUUAGGAUGCAACCAGAAACAAAUCCCUCUACUUGGCAGGAAAGUUAUCUUCCUUAAAGUGGCUCACCCCAUAUUUCCUUAUUUAGAACAAUGAUAGGACCAGAUAUUACUCAGCCUGGAGUGACUUUUUUGCUCCUCCUUUCCCUGUUGUUGAAUAAGAACUGGCUUGCAGAAAAAAGAGAAAGUAUGUUCAUAUGUCUAUUAUUGGAAAGUAUAAAUGGCUGAAAUUAACAUUGAGUGCUAUAAUCUAGAAAGUGACGAAAGCGACAAAGUCUCAAGUCACUUUUAUUCAAUGAUCUCAUCGUGGUUAGCUUUACUCUUUAUGGAAAGAAAAUCUAAAGGCAACUGAUAAAGUGACUGACAGCGUAAACUGCGAUUGGCAUUCAUGGAGAAACCUGCUUCUCCACUGGGCCUUACUGGUGUUGAACACCUUGCCAAAUGAUGUAAAUACAUGAUUUUUAUUACCUUGUAGGCACCUUCACCAGCAAAAAAGCUAACUUCUCCGACCGAACACAUGACUUAUGCCCUAUGAUGACUAUUAAAUCAACCAAUAGCUGAAGAAAUCCACUUUCCUUUUUUAUAAAGUUUUCUUUCUCUCUAGUUAAUAAUGAACAACUUUACUUCAGGAAAGGAUUUUGUUAUUGUAAGUAGAGGAGAGACACAAAAGUAAUGAAGUAACAUUAAUUGAGACUUACUGUGACAACACAAGAUUGUCAUAUUCAACUCUCCCAAUAGCUCUACAAGGUGGGUAUUAUUUUUAUACUCAAUUUCAAAUGACACAGAGAGGCUAAGUAAUUUAUCUAAUGCCACACAGCUAGAAAGUGGUGAGCUGGGAUUAGAACUAAGGCGAUCUGGCUCCAGAACUCAUGACUUUAACCACUAUUAAGAGAAAGAGAAAGAGCUAUCGUUGACCUCUCUAAAAUAUGGCCAGUGUUUUCUUCUCCCAGAAAGUUUAAGACUAUUUCAUCCCAAGUAUUCCUGCAGGAUAAUUUCUUUUUAAGAUAGUAACUCUACAAAGCAAAAUGAAGUGCAUGUUUGGCAGUUAUUUGUUUAAUUCGAGCCACUUAGGUAGUAAAACCAGAUAAUUAUUAGAUGGUAAAAUCCCAGAGACAGGAAUUAUCUCUAAAAUACUACGUUGCUCUAUGCACUGUAAAUUUAGCACAAACCUUAAAAUGUUUACUGAAAGACUUAUGAAUCAGGCCCUAUAAGAUUGUCGUUGUUAACCUGAUUAUCUGGUUUGGCUGCCCCAGGGAUCACAACUACGGAACAACAAACCUUCACUUAUUUUGCACUUAAUAUACAUAGCUUCAGGCCAGGCAGCAAGGUACUUGCAGUAAUCCUGAGAACUGUGGAAUGUAAGCUAUUACUCCGGACAGACAUUUCUGGUUAGCACUUAUCUAAUCUGUCUUUAUUUCCCUGUAUGUUUUUAUUUGUCCACAGGAAGGUUGCAGUCACUGUCAUACGUACUUAAUUUUCCAUUUCUCUUAGAAGGGAUUCAGUCUGUGGUUAUGUGAUAGUAAAUUACGGGGGCUUCAUUUAUUAAGAAUUUUCUACAAAAUCCCCUUCAUAUACAGAGCAUGUUCUUAAUUGGGCGGGGGCUGGCGGGGUUAGGUGAUUGCCUCGAUGGCCUUGGUUUGCUUACCCAGUGAAGGCUCCCUCCUGAGGGUCUGGAGGUGUAUGGUUGUGCUGUUUCCCAGGAGGGUGAUGGAAGGGUCUCUGCGCAGCUGUGUUUGAGCAGAAGCCCCCGAGACCCCACCCCGUUUGUGCCUGCCAGGCCCGAGGCCCCGCCCACCUCAGGCCCAGCCCGGGCGGGGGCUCAGCGGCCCCUUGGCCUGGCUGCUAAUGGCUGAGCAGAGACGCUUUUGUGGCUUUGCCAAAUUUCUGAGCCCUUACGUGCCUACAUUAAAAUUCUAAAUUAUUUAUCUCGUCUACCAUGCAACAAAUUCAUUCUUUAACGUUUUGACUGAAGAAAAAUUACAGACGGAACUUACAAUGCCAUUAAGAAAGGUGCAUUCUGAAAGUCAGAGUCCUGUGUUCUGGUUGAAUGGGGUAGGUCAGGGAAAGGAGAACCUGUGUGCCGUGAAACGCUUUGGAAAGGACUUUGAAAGUAUUCGUAUUUCCUCAAGCAAGACCGAGGAAAAUAAUGACAGAGGAUCUUUAAUUUAGUCAAUAUGGUCAUGCAUAAGCUAUUAAAUUCCCAAUUAUUUCCUUGCUUUGAUAUUUUGGUUUAAAAUGCUUUAUUUUUCUCUGUAUGAUUUUUGCAACCAAUCCAAAUGUAGGACUCCUGUCCUUUUCCUUUUUAAACCUUGUAUGAGAUCUAUGGAUUUAAAAUCACUAAAACAUGCUUUGAAAAAUAUCAACUUGGUUAUUUAUGUAUUUAUGCAUUUAUUUAUUUAUUUAGUAAACCCAUUUGCAGAGCUAAAUGGCUUACCUACACAGAGAUAAAAGCCUUUAGAGUACUGAAGGUGCCUGAUAAUACCAAAUUUAGCAAGUUGUACAGUGCGUAACAUGCCAAGGAUUCCUUUAGCAUCCUUUCCUUGCUGGGAUACACGUCAGUCCCUGUUCUCAGAAUUCAGUGGUUCCCUGUCUCUCCCUUCACUCCAGUCUUCUGAAAAAAACACCUUCCUCUCCACUUUUCUUUUUUUCUUUUUUUGAGAUCAAGUCUCACUCUGUCGCCCAGGCUGGAGUGCAGUGGUGCCACCUCAGCUCACUGCGACCUCUGCCUCCUGGGUUCAAGUGAUUCUCCUGUCUCGGCCUCCUGAGUAGCUGGGAUUACAGGUGCCCACCACCAUGCCUGGAUAAGUUUUGUAUUUUUAGUAGAGAUGGGUUUCACUGUGUUGGUCAGGCUGGUCUCGAACUCUUGACCUCAGGUGAUCCACCUGCCUCAGCCUCCCAAAGUGCUGGGAUUACAGGUGUGAGCCACCGCACCCGGCCUUUUUGCAAAUUCUCUCCCACUUUCGUGCUUUUAUGACCUCAUUGGUUCUCCUUUUAUCUUCUUCUUCUUCUUUUCAGGCUUUCCUUACGCUUCUUUAAUACUGACUUCCGUAGAUCUUACUUCCAACCCCCUACUCCCCAGCCCCCCACCCGCACCUAUCUACUGCCGCCCCCUUGCCUCCCACACACAGAUGUGACACUUUUAAUGCACAUUCUGUAGCCCUCAUUUUUCCUUCUCCUUAGACUCUGCUAUGGGAAAUCUUGGUCCCUCACUGCCCCCAUUCAUCUGCCUCUCUGUUUGCGUUUACAUGACUUGAGUGGCCUGUCAGUCCCGCUAGUAAAGUCUCCUCAUCCAUCCACUCUGUUUAAACAAUCAAACUCUGAAACCUGUGUCUCCUGGACCAUCCUAUAAUCCCUAAAAUAGGCUGUUAUGCUUUUCACCUCUGCCCUACUCUGUUAGCACUACCUUACUUAUUGACCUCUUUCAAUCAAAUCGUUAUCUAAAGGAUACCUGUAACUCAGAUAGGUUGCCUACUGGGCCUGUUUAGUUUUAAGUAAACCCCACUGAAUAUGAGAGACCCACCCUCUAUUUGUAUGUAGAGGCAGAUUGAUCGAAAAGUCCUUGAAUAAAAAACAUGAUCUAGGGUCUGUGAAGUUUUGAGGGGGCCAAGACUUGGUGUUUUAUGCUCUUGUGUUAGAGACAUGAUAGAGCAUGGGCUUUGAAGAAAGGCAUUUCUGUUCCUUAUGGCUUAUAGCUCUGGACCUUAGGCAAGUUAAGCUCUCUAAGCCUCAUUUUACAGCAUUGUCUGUAAAAUAGGGAUAAGAAUAACUGCCUCAUACUAUUCGAAGACCUGGGAUAAUAUAUGAAUGAAGUACUUACUAUGGCUCUUGGCAUAUAGUAAGCAGACAAUGCAAGCUGGCUCCAGCUCUCUUUGUAUGGUAGAUGCUCAAUAGAUGUUGAAAGGAUGGUAUGUACUCAAGACUUGGUGACAGAAUUAUGUCAAAAUCCCAGUUACUAGGUUGAGAUGGUUGAAUAUUGUUGAGUAUUCUGUGGGCCUGGAUGUGUAUUGUAAGCAUAGGGCCCUAACAGCAUAUGACCCCACUUGCUAAUAUACUAAUGACUUGAUUCCUUCAUUAUUGUUCAUUGGACUCAGUAUUCCUGAAAUUACAAGACUUUGCUCAUAGAAGACAAAAUGUAUACACAAAUAGCCAUUUAAGAGGAUCUUAAUACUAUAUGGCAUAGUAAAAAAACAACAACAACAACAAAAAACAUGGGCUUUGUUUCAGAUCCCACUUUUGUUACUUUCUAACAGUAUAGUUUUAUGCUAGCUACUUUAAACCUUCUUUUCCUCAUUUAUCAAAUGAGAAUAAUACCUGUCUUGUCAGAUAGUUAUAGGAUAUAAUAUAUGACAAUUGUCCUUUCUAGCAGAUAUUAGGCAUUUAAUAAAUGGCAGCUAUUAUAUGAUGUUAUAUACACAUACCCACAAAGAUAUACAGAUAUAUAGAUAUGGAAUUUUUAUAUAGAUAAAAGUGUUUAAAGGAGACAUUCACUAGAAUUGUUUACCCAUAACAGAAAUAUCAGUGAGGAAGAGAAAGUCGUCAAUUCAAAAAACCAAAGAUAAAAUCCAAAGAAUGUAAGUUGGGAGUACAUGAGAAGUUCAGGGUGAACUCUCUUAUCCAAUUGCAGUCAAUUAGAAUGACAUAAAUGUAAAGUAAGAGGUCUUGGUUGUCUAUGUUUAGAUCAUUUUAGGGUCAGAAAGAAAUCUGAACAAAUUGGUUUGAAAUGCCAACCACUAGGACCAAGGCAAUACUCUGCAAGAACAUAUAGGCUGAAUUACCAGGACUUCUCGCCAAGACAAAUGAAACAGGGCCAUUGGGAAGAAAUACUAUAUUUCUAACUUAAAAUGCCAGAGAGUAACUGACGGUUUCCUAGGUGAUAGAUGGUUGCAAAGAGUACGGGCAUGAAAAGGGGACACACACACACAAAAAAAAACCCUGUUUAUACUUUGCCAACAACACCCCCCUCCAUCUUAUUUACUUUGAACAUUCCAGCCAUCUCUCUGCAGUAAUUCCUGCUGGCUAAUGAGGAUUCCACACAGCUAGGGAACAUGACAGCCUGCAAAGGAUUAUUUUCCUGAACAAUCUGCAUUUUAAGAUAAGUCACCUUGUUGGUAACCUUUUGUACCCUUCAUUGGAAAGGGUGACUCUCUUUGAAGACAGUUUGACCAAACAAUGAGAUCUAGGUGAAUUUGAGGAAGAUAGAACGGGCACUCCAGAAAUAUGGAUAGUGGUGGAGCUGACAGCAGUUUUUCAUGGUUGACGUAGGGAGUGGAGGCAGCUGUCAUGGAGAUAUUAAAGUUGCCAGUGGAAUGUUUUCCAAUACAUAUUCCUGGGCCCCACAAUGGACUAUUAAAUCCCAGUUAUUCUUUAAAAAAAAAAAAAAAAAAAGGCCGGGCGCGGUGGCUCACACCUGUAAUCCCAGCACUUUGGGAGGCCGAGGCAGGCGGAUCACGAGGUCAGGAGAUCCAGACCAUCAUGGCUAACACGGUGAAACCCCGUCUCUACUAAAAAUACAAAAAAUUAGCUGGGCAUGGUGGUGGUCACCUGUAAUCCCAGCUACUUGGGAGGCUAAGGCAGGAGAAUGGCUUGAACCCGGGAGGCGGAGCUUGCAGUGAGCCGAGAUUGCACCACUGCACUCCAGCCUGGGCGACAGAGUGAGACUGUCUCAAAAACAAAACAAACAAACAAAUAAACAAACAAACAAAACAGCUAGUCUCUUUCUCCCUAAUCCCCUCACUAACCACUACUAGUGCUUCUGGUGCUUACACGGUGUCUAAGUAGGUAGUUCAUGAUCCUUAUUCAAAGGCUGGAUCCAGUGAUUUGUAAGUGUCAUGUUUCUUUGCAAAUCUCAGUCUUGCGAAUUAGAAUUCCCCCUGAUAUGUCUAACAUAUCAAGGUAAUAGUUAUAUGAUGUUACUAAAAAUGUCCCUCACAUGAAAUGUUAUGUUUAUGCCCACAGGAAACAAAGAUUUAGCAACAAAUAUGUAAAAGUGAAACCAUUUCAAGCAACAAAAAUAUUUGAUAGCCCUUUUGAAAUUAAUUUGAAUUCCUUUUUUUACUGUGUGUAUGUGUGGUUGGGGGGCAGGGGGGCGGUGGAUGGAUUAAUUAUCUGUGAAACCCAGUAGAAAGUUGCAGUAACCAAAACACGUGUAAAGUUCAGAUUUGAACCAGAUCUCCUGUCUACUUCUUAAGGCAUUGUGCAUUUAGAUAGUAUAUGUCAUUCAUGUUUUUCCUAGGUUUUAUUGGUCAGGCAGAAACACUGUGCUAUCUCUUGGUAACUAUGAGUUAGCCUUAAUCUCAGUGAUUCAUGACAGUCCACUUGUUUUCCUUAAUUUAAUGCCUCACUCCCACAGGAGAUGAGGCUAACUGAGGACUCAUCUAGAGGACUCUUUAAGAAUGAGCUGGGCUUUUCUGCCCCCCAACACCCUCCGCCUCCCAAAAUAACCAUAACAGGCAAAGCCAGCACACAGAAAAUGGCAGUAAGUGGACUUCUAGACACUCCAGCUACUUCUGAGUCUUCAGUGUCAGGACACAUCAGUCAUCUGUCGAUGAGAUUUUUUUUUUCUUUUCCUUUUGUUCUUUCGUUCUUGUUACUAGUCACUGUGGCAUGACUGAGAGUUUGGCAGGAAAUGGGUUCGUGGACCUGUGGUACAGUCGCACUACCACAGCAGCAUUGGCCUAGCAAAAUGUUGAGCCCUCUUUCCCUUGCAUGCUCCCCUGGGGCAGAAGUCCAGUGCUAUCUCCGCUUCCCUGACCCUCUCCACUCAGAGCCCAGCAUGACAAGCACACCUUUAAAUGGGUUCAAGGAAGGGAAUAGCAGAAAUGAACGCAGCCCGACAGCCUCCUUUCUCUUGAUAACCCCUGUCACUGUGGAGCUGGACUUCUAGGCUAUCUCACAGAGGCCCAGAGGCACUGGAAUCGAUCUCAUUUCCUUACAGACAUCACCUUGUCAAUUAGAGAACACAUAACGUUGAUUGAAUUUAAGAUUCUUAUCAGUGCCUAGCUCUUUUUCUCCCAAAUCCGAAAUUCAGCCAUGGCAGAUCCAUAAUCAAGAAAUAUACUUACAUUCCCAUCCUUUGUUGUUGGUUUCAAAAAUAUUUCUUUUUUGUGAGUAUGUAUCCAUGUUUUACAAACCAAAAAAAUGGGACAUAUGGUCUGACAAAGGGAAGGAUAUUUGAACCUGGGGACUGCCUGGGAGAGUCCGGAAGCACAUGGUCACUCUAGAGACUGUCAUCAAGGGCUGCUCCUGAGAUUAAUCCACUGUCGAAGGCAUUAUCCCAUCUCCCUUACAGCAGCCUUUUGCAGGAAACUGUCUAAGAUGUUGUGCUUUUUUUUUCAUUGACUUGUAAAUAACAAGGUGCUCUCUUUCCUUUUCUUUGCAGAAAUAGGCAUCUUUAGAAAUAAAGCCAUGCCCAUUUUGAAAUAAGAACUUGUUUGGAACACCUGAGAGUGUUAAGCAGUGCGGGGGAUUUGCAUCCAAUUGUUCUUGCUUUAAACCUGGCAUGGGCGCUCUCGCCUCAUAGCCCGCAGCACCUGAAUCAAGCCUCCUGCCUCCCUUAUUAAGAUCUUAAUUACAGACUCAGCUUAGUUCAUUGCUGAAGGGAAAGAAUUUCAUUUCUCUGAAGUGUGUCUGUUUUUUGGUGUGGCAGGUGUAAUCAUGAUAAGAUCAUUUCUGGGUUUUUUGUUUUGUUGGUUUUUUUUUCCUAGAGGAAGUUUUUUUUUCCAAGGGGAGGAGUACAGUUCUUAAGACACAAUUUCAUGAGCUCAUCUUGGCGCAGUAAUAAUAACUGUGCUUUGAUUUUAUAGAGACUCUUUUUCCUGAAGAAAUCAGAGCAUUUGGAGUAAAUAAUCUCAUGAUUCCUCAUAUUUUUAUAAAGAAGAACAUGUCUAUUAAUAUUUAUUUUGCAGACAGGGAAACAGAGGCACAAAAGGCAGAGAUUUGAUGGUCAUUAGUCUUCAAAUGUGAAGUCUGAAGCUAGACCCUCCUAAUUCAGUCUGGUGUCCAUUCCUCUAUCCAGGGUUUCUCAACCUUGGCACUAUUGACACUUAGGGCCAGGUCAUUCUUUGUGGUGGGGGCUGUCCUGUACACUGUAGGAUGUUUAGCAACAUCCCUGGCCACUCUACCCACUAGAUGCCAGUAACACACGUGUGCAUGCAUGUGCACAUGCACACACACACACAGUGACAACCAAAAAAUGCCACUAAACAUUGCCCGUACCCAGAGGGGACAAAAAUCCUCCUAGUUGAGAAGCAGUGGUCUAAUCUCUUCUACUCCUUCUCCUUAAAAAUAACUGCCCUACUCAAAAAUACCCCCAUAGAACUGACUGCCAUAAUUUUAUCAUUACUGAUAUUGAGCUUAAUGUAACAGGUCCUAACCAAAAAGCAACUUCCUCUUACAGGCCUAGCCCCAGUUUGUUUCAGUGAAUACCACAAAAUACUAAGAAGCGCAGAGUUUCAUUCAAGUCAAAUGUAAAACCCAUCAAACCAUCUCUAAGGCAACUUUAAAGUAUUUCUCUGGCUUCUCUCUCUACAAUAUGUACCUCAUCAUGGAACAUGCAUUUAGAGCUGGGUCUUUAAGAAAGCUAUUUUAUUCUCAUAAACUGGUGUAUAACAUGUGCGUGUAAGAGCUUGUCUCUCCACCUCGGCACUGAACAAUUUCACAAUGAAGGUUUUUUGUUCCCUUUGCUCCUGCCACCUUUUCCCUGUCUUCUAACUAAGAAGCUGCAGCUUCAAAAACUCUUCCUUGAGACAGCUUAGUGGCUGCAUUGCUGACAGUGUAUGACUGUAAACACCUCUCAGCCAAGUGUGUGAAUCUGUUUUCUAAAACUCUCUGAGGACCUCACAAGUGAAGUAGAUAAUACCAAUCAGGCACCAAAUCCAGGUCAAGUGACAUCUAAAAGAGUUCCAGGGAGGGUUGCAUCCUAUUUACAUCAACUCGGUUCUGGCUGGGAGAUGGACAACAGUUGCCAGGAUGUGUAUGCAUUUGUAUUGGUGGGUUUAGAUAUAACCUUGGGCUGCAUAGCUUGGUGAAGGAAGAUAAGAUAGACAGGAAUGGAAAAAUAGGAACCUCUUUUUCUUCUUUCAAACACCUUAUCAGAUGUUAUAACUUGUGCAUUUUGACUUUGAGAAAUGACAUCAUUUUUGGAAGUAUAUUGUAAUAUAGUAGAUUGGGGUCUCCUACUCCAUUAAAACUUAAUUCUUAUUUCUCUUCCCUGAGUACCUGGAUGUUAGAGGGAUUUGUCUAGACAGGCAGAUAGAUAUGAUCCAGUGCCAACACUGUAAUGCUGGCUGAAAUCCAGAUGGUUGUUUUAUUGUUAAUAAAAUCUAUCUUGUGGGUGGGUGGGUGUCAGGCCUUCAUCAUUAUAUGGUGCCUGUCAGAUUUAUCUACAGACAGAACCCUGAAAACAGCUUGUGCCUGCCCCGCAUUUUUGACCCCUUGCCAAGAUACUGUACUGAAAUCUAUCAAAAUCAGGCAACCUGGGACAAAUGCUUCGAGAUUCCAAGGCUUAAUAGCAACAGUGCUGACUUCUAAGAUGGAGAAGAUUCUCAGGAAGGGCAUCCUUGUCCGGUGGGGAAAAAUUCUAGAUUAAGAGGUGAACCAGAUGCUAGCUCUGGCUCUGCCGCUAAUCUGAGACCCUCUGGGCUGUAAAAUAAGGAGAUUGGGUUAGAAUGGUUCCUUCUUACUCUGAAAUUCUACUCUAAUCAACUCUGGUCAAGGUAUGGGUGACUUCUGGUUCUAAUACCUAUAAAAAACCUAGGUGUUCUUCCCCCUUCUUUUUUUCUUUUUCUUUUUCUUUUUUUUUUUUUAUGACAGAGUCUCGCUCUGUCACCCAGGCUGGAGUGCAAUGGCGUGAUCUCAGCUCACUGCAACCUCCGCCUCCCAGGUUCAAGCAAUUCUCCUGCCUCAGCCUCCCGAGUAACUGAAACUGCAGGUGCACACCUCCAUGCCUGGCUAAUUUUUUGUAUUUUAGUAGAGACGGGGUUUCACCAUGUUGCCCAGGCUGGUCGCAAACUCCUGAGCUCAGGCAAUCUGCCCACCUCAGCCUCCCAAAGUGCUGGGAUUACAGGUGUGAGCCACCGUGCGCGGCCUCCACCUUCUUUAAGAUUCUCAGGAGUUGCUUCGGUAAACCCAAAGACCACAGAUGAGUGAAAAAGAACUCAGCAGUCAAAUUCAUCUUCCACCGUGGGCCAGGAAAUAAUAGAAGUUGACUGUGACAUUGCACGUAUACACACAUAUAUGCAAAUCUGCCUACUAACUCUUUGCCCUAAGAUUUUGUUGGUUACAUAGUAAACAAAUCCUAGCAUAUGAAUGUGUCUGUCCAGCACGAACCCUAAAUCAAGCAAGAAUAGAUGGCAUUCAUUCAAGUAUGGGGAAGGAGAGGAACCCAGCUUUUGAGGAACCCCUUUGUAAUUGCACAGCUAUGCUGUCCAUAUCAUGUUACCAAAUCUGGUCAGAGAGAGAUUUCUUUCUGAGAUCCAAAUAUCCAAAUUUGCAGUGAGCAUCAGAUCUUUUCACCAGUCCUCAAAAAGUAACUUCACUUUGGUAUAUGAGCCACCAAAAUAGUGCUGGGUUCCAAAUGAUCCUUCAUCAGACAGGAUUGGCCAGUGUGGAAGAGAUGUUAAGAUUCCAAGCCCUGGAUCUACAACCACACACAGGGCGCUGCCCCACAGCACAUCCAGGGAGUAUUAACAGCUUCUCUUGCCAUGUCAAAGAGUACCUUCGGGAGGCAAGUAUUUAAUGUCACAUUUCUCAAACCUUCUCCCACUCAGACAUGCUCAAAAGAGAAUGCUAUAGCUAAAGUUCACAAAGCUGGAAAAUCUAAGAAAACUUGAGGACUCGGGGCAAAGUGAAUGACGUCAAGAUUCGGCGGGGGGGUCCAAGAUACUCCUAUAAGCUUUGUAACUGUCAUAGGGGUCUAGAAGAAGCACUUCCCAGAAAAUAAAAAUUACUGCCUGAAAUGCAGUCUGGGUGCCACAGGAGGCCUUGUGGGAAAUGUUGAACACCUCUCAGCAGUGGGCAGAAGGAUGCCAGGGAUUAGUGGGACAAAGUGGGGUCCUGCUUUUGCCUUUCUGUGAGCUCCAUUCAGCUCACCUAGUGAAAAGUGUGUCAGAACACAGUCGACAAAUAGUACUGGGAAAAAAUUAGCAUAUCUUAUAUUAUAUCAUAACUUAUCAUAUCUUCUGUCUCCUGUAUUGAAAGCUUCAUGCCUGUGACUUCAUAAUCUCAAGAGGAACCAACUCAAAAAAUUCGACAUUCCAGAUCUUCAGAUGCAAGAACCUAAGUGUAAACCAAGUAUUCUGAGAAUUAAAAUCCUGACACUUACAGAUAUCCAUGUUUUCUGACUAUGGCUGUUUCCUUCUCUGGGGAAAGCCCACAUCCCCCUCUAUCCCAAAGGUGAUGGUGGGAAGGAAAGGAGAAAUGUAGCCAAAAUGGUUUGCAGUUCUCAGACCAAAGCCGGUUUUCGUCAGUAUGCACAAAAGCACGUGAGCCUUUCUUUCUCUUCCCUGUUGUGCCCUGAGACUGACCUUGACAAUGUUCAUCCCUCAGCUGCCUGCCUUAGGACUGACUUCCUUGAUGAUGGCCAUUUCCUUGAAUGUGUCUGUUUCUCAGGGUCUGUCCUCUGCAUGCAUGCAUUUGCGCAUGCAGGCAUGCAAACCCACAAGAGUCCAGGCUAAAGUUUUGGGGGAUUGGGUACAGGAAAAUCAUGUCAUUGAGAAUGGGGCAACCCUGAGGCCAUGGCAGGAUCCCCUGCAUGACAAAUAUAGAAUGAAGUAAAAAUAAUCAGAGGAAGCCGGGCCAUUGAUGAUGCUAUCAGUCUUAGUGGGGUGAUACACCAGACAUUCUGUCUCAUUUCUCUUCAAACGACCGCAUGAGUGGUCAUGGAAACUACAAGUCACACCUCUCCGUAUUUGGAAAAGCAGAUCGUUUCUCUGACAUAGGAGUAAUAAGCUUUCUUGACAUUUUGAUAGCAGUGAGGGAAGGGAAAAAAGGCAGGGAGGAGUUGGAGGUGGGGUGAGGGGUAGAAGCCGUCAUGUGUCCUAGAGCUCUCUGUACCAGCGUUCUGGUCAACUGUACAGUAUUUUCUUCCCACUCCUCAGGCAUAGCUUGGGAACCAGGAACAGCAGAACCCAAGUGGUCUGGCAAAGUGUUUGAAUGGUGCUCUGUCACCUAGUGCCAAAAGCAGAUUGCUACACUGAAGGGAGAAAGGCUCUUAAAAGAGACCAUUGUGUUUAAUCUCACUGGGAUGGUCAGUUCCUCUUGGCCUUCCUGUUUGCUCCGUAGUUGCGAACACUAGUUUCAGGGGGGUCAGGCUCCCGAUCUGCGUCAUUAUCCUGUUUAAAUAGGGAGGGGCAGGCCCUUUCCUGCUGUCUGUCUCCCAUAGUCUCUGGCUGUGAGGCUUGAGUGACUUGGACAUGACAUUUCUCUUUCUGGUUCAUUCAUUUUCCCCACUUCCAUCUGAAAAUUCUAACCAAAUGUCUUGCUGAAUUCUCUAAGUACAACAAUUUCACCCUCCCUGCAGACAAUGAGGAAAUCAGAGUCCAGAAUCCAUUUCAACUUAGCAAACAUUUACUGAGUCUAUAUUUUGUUUCGGAUACUGGGGUAAAGUUCUGGAAAUGCAAAAGGAAUUUGCAUCUCUGAACUUAAGGAGUUCACAGUCUUGAACAGGGCAAUCCAAGUUGUACUGUAAAGAAAUAGUAUGAUCGAGAACUGGGAAAGGAAACAGCCUUUGAAUAGAUACCCAUUCUGGUUAAAUGGAAGAUGGGUUUCGAGGGAGGAAGGAAUUUAAUGCAGGAAAGCCAAUUGGGAAGCAAUUUCUGUGCUACAGAAAAAAAAAAAAAAAAAGUUGCUGAAGACCUGAAUGAAGGGUGGCAGUGAGGUGGAAAGCAGGGCCCCAGAUGGGUUGCAGGUCAUGAAGAGACACAGCAAACCUCUGCGGCUCUUACUGCACAGCUGUGUGCAUGCUGUUAACCAAGCAAAGCAAAGCAGGAGAAAAAGGUGUUUGCACUUGCUUUUAGAGAGGAAGAUGCCCAUUAGACUGGAUAUAAGGGACUGGAAUGCAGAAGAAAUAUCCAGCGAAGACUAUGGCUUUAGGAAUUAUCUGUGUGUUCAGAUGCCAUCCUCCUGUAGAGCGUAAGCACAUAGCUGAGAAGAGGAAAGUGCAAAGGACAAAUCUCUUUGGAACAUGAUCACUUUAGGGAUGGGAAAAAGAUUUAGUCUCCAGUGGAGAAUAAGGAUGAGAGUGGUCAAGAGAAGACAGAGAACGAAAAAGUGGUAUCGUGGAGGCCAGAAGAAGACAGUUUCAAGGAAGCUUGGGCUGGGGAUCAAGGCUAGAGGCUGCUGCAAUCAGGGUUCCCUCAGAUAGGGCUCAUGAUCCUAAAUGCUGAUUUGCAAUCCUGAUUAGAGCCACAGCUUGUGUUGCACCUGUAUUUCACUUGACUAAAUUCUGUCCUAAUUCUAGACCUGAAGACAAGAGGCCUGAAUUCCUGUCUCAGCUCUAAGACUUUCUUGCCAGGUGAGCUGGCAAAUCAUUAACUUCUUGAGGCUCAUUUUUUUCUUUUGUAAAGUGAAAGGGUUGGACGGUAAUUGUUUAAAGUUCCUUCUGGCUUUCAAGUUCUGUGCCCUAACUGUUUUGGUGUUUUGCCAAGCUCUAGCUGCACUGCUAACUGCCAGCCUUUGGAGACUAACCAUCCAAGUGAAUAUAGAGUUACAUAGCUCUCUUAUCUCUCCUUGAUUUGUUUCUGUGUUGACCUUCCCUACCCUGGAGAUAAAUAUCCAAGGGGGUGAGUGGGCAGGAGAAAGAGUACAUCUUGAGUAGAUUAAACUGCCUCUCUGGGGUUUUUCUAAGAUAGCAGAUCAUCAGCUUCUGACUUUGUGGCUCAAGGAAUCACACCUUUGCACUGAAGGAGAGGAUCCCUCCACUUCCUUGCCAGAAGAAUUCAUUCUUGAUUUUCCUAUUACGACUGAUGUGCACUUUUGAAUGAGAUGGUUUAUGGUCCAGCUGAAAUUCAUUUGGCUGUUAUGGUCUUACUGAAACCUUGCACCAACACCAAAUCUUUUCGAAAGUCCAACUCCUGCCUCAUGCCUUUUCCUACCUGCUGAUGUAUUAUCUGUGUUGGAAUCUGAUGACAUUUAUCCAUAAUUUAUCAAGUAGUAUCAUUAUUAAUAUGUUGUCUCAGAAGUUCCCUUGAAUGCAACCAAUGGUUUCACUAUUGCUGUUUGUAGGCAGAUACUCAACAAGAGGUUGCAGUGACAAGAACUCAUUCAUAAUUCAGAAAUAUACUGCUUUAAGAUAACAGUUCUUCUGAAAUGUAAUCCUGAGCAAGAUAAAUAUCAGAUAGGUACAAAACAUAUAUAAUAGCAUCAUUGGAAUAGGACCAAGCCUGGACUGCAAAUGGAAAGGAGGCAAGGCGGGGAGGGAGCCUGAAGCCCAAGGGCCAUCUAGCAAAUUAAAUAAAACAUCACCAUAGCUUACCAAAGACCGGGAAACUAAGGCCCAAAGGGAUGCUGUUGCCUGGCAAAGUAACACAGCUAGAACCUAAGACCGCAAAUAUCCAAUUUAUUCCAUAGACACAAAAAGAAGAACCGCUCCUCUUCAGAACUUUAUCAUAUAAUGGAACUGAGCCCAGUAACAAGGAUGCUGCGUGGCUGAGCUAAGGUAGCUUAAAGUUCUGGAAAGAGGAUUAAACUGAAAGAACGCAAUUCUCUUUCCAUCGCUGCCAAUAGUGUGGUCUUGGGCAAAUGAUAAACUUCAAAUCUAUUUCCUCAUCUGUGACACAAGGGCAUUGUGUCCAGGUGAUCUCUAAAGGUCCCUGGAGCCGUAAGCUUCGGUUUAGGAGAGUGGCUGGAUGUAGACAUUGGCUCUCUGUAGCUUGCGCAGAUAUUAAAUAACUCAUACUCCUGUUCGGCCAAGGCUGAGAAUAUGUAUCGGUGUGUGAAUAGGCUGGUGCCGGGGUCCUGGCUACUAACAGCACUGACAAGCUGUGCCUGAAACCUAAUCUCUAUGGGCACUGAGGAGGACUGCUGGGAAGUCCUGACAACCAGUCAGGAGGACUCACCUGCGGUGCCCACAUUAGCCCAGACUGUGGGGCUCUGAGAGUUUCCCCCAAGAAGCAGCUCACAGGCCAGUGUAGAAACAUUAGCCAGCUGCUCACCAGGUGGUAAGAAGGUUACUGGGGCAGGAGACAAAGAACGCCCAGGACGACUCUCGCACGGGGAUUUCUAUCUGCCUCUGAUCAAGCAUGCUCCGGUGCUCCACUUCAGUGCCUCAUGGUGCUCUUGGAGUUGGAAGUGGCCCAAUUCCGAAUGCCUUGAGCUGAUUUAUGCUGAUUAGAUCUGUAGCCCUUUGCCUUUCUACUGUUUUCUGUUUCUCUUCUUUCCCUUCUUUGUAGCCAGUAUAAUUGCACAGCUACCAACCCUCAGCUCCCAUACAACUAGCCCGACUCUGUUGCUUCUGAUUUCAUGUGGGGGCUUCCCGAUUGCUGAAUGGGCCCAGAAGAAAGGGACAGACAGAGGCCAGAGUGGUCAGCUAUCUCCUCACUUAAUAAUCUCAGUACAGCUCUGGUGGAGUCAUUUCCUGGAGGUCAUUUUAGUAAAAGGACCAGAAUCUUGUCCUCUGUAACUCUAUGACUUCUCUUGUAAAAUACAGAAUACCCAAAAGAUGGGAGAAGAGAAACAGAGACAAUUUUAGGAUUAUGACACCAUCCUUAAAUGGUUCCAUGAACAGGGGAAACUGCUGCCUGAUUUUUUCUUUAUGUAUGUGAACUUUUCAUUGUUAGAUGAAACCCAGCGCCUCCUGGAAUAUUAACUACCCAGUGAAACCUUCCCCUGAAAUAUGCACUCCUCAGUUUCCCUUUAGCUUCCCUGGCCGCUCACCUCUCUGUGUCUCACACUUCCUGGAUCUCAUAACUGUCAAGAAAAAGGACUUCAACCUUAUUCUUGAAGAGUAUCACAAAGCUUCCUGAGGACUGUCCUCUAUGGCUUUAUCUCUUUUAAUUGCCCUGGCUAAGAGGAACCUGGCUCACAGCAGCAGAACUGGACCCGUCCCAACUACUGAAUAGAGGGCAGAUCCCUUCCAUUGCACAGCCCUCCAGAGCGGAAAACACACAGGACCCGUGGCAAUGGGGCUAGCACAAGGGGACGCGAGUAGUGCAAGUCAGCUGCAAAGAAAUGAAAAGCACGAGGCUGAAUGAUCAAGUCCACGUUGCUAGAGAAGAAAAUAGACAGCAAAAGCUCAGACAAUGACAGCCGAAAAUCCCACGAAUAUGUCAUGGUAUAAAAUAAAGUCAUGAACCUGCCCCAUCCAAUCCGUAAUCCUUUCUUCCAUAAAUGAGCCCCACCUCAAUGACAUUAAGUGCAUCCAAACAUCUUAACAAAGCAUUAGAGUUCACUUUUAGUGUUCCGAGGGCUUGUGCUGAAUCAACAACGUCCCCGACUUCGCUGUGCUCUGGGAAGGGGGCAGACAUGCGGGAAUGGCUGCCCGCGUGCUGGGAAACUUUACUAAUGCCAAGAAAUGAAAUCUUCCGAGCCUUUGAAAGGCCUCCAAGAAUGUCAGCACGUACUGCCUGCCCACUCUCUGCUGAAUGCCUACUUUGGCUGUCUGCUUAGUACUGAAUGUGCCAGACAGGCCUUCAUACAAAGACGGAGAGUGUGUUGGGCCCAUGAAAGGGGAAGGCACAGCUUUUCUGAUGUGAAUGGUGAGAUUCAAGAAGUAGGUGACGAAAGGGGAGGGCGAGGAGGGGCCCUCAGGAAAGGUAUGCAUAAAAGACCGAGAGAGAAGAGUUGGCAUCCACCUAUGUGUUAAUAAAUUUGUUGUCAAAGCUGGAGAUGUAUAUGGCUGCUGGCCUAUGCUCCACGCUUGAUGGCAUGUCUACAUGCCUUGCUUGUGGAUUCUCUCUGGAUCCAAGGCUCCUGUCAUCUGAGAACAAGAAUUUCUAAGCCCUGCCAAGGCAUAUAUAUGUGUACUUCUAUUGGCUUUUCAACUCCAAAUAUAAAUGCUAUUUGUACUGUGUGUUAUUUGGGAUUUUUCUUUUACUCUUUUCACCUCCAAUAUAGAACAAUAUUGAGAAAUGUUCAUUGUCGAACAUCUGAAUAUCUCGGGAUUUUUUUUUCCUUAAGCUCACUUUGAAAAAGGAAGAAAAAUGUUUUGUAUAGUGAACCAUGCUCUAACUCUGUAACACUGCUACUCAUAAUUCCUUGGCACGGCAUAUCCUGCUAGAGGAAAGAACUCUUCUGGUGUUUUGAGCUUUUCCAAGGAGGCAGUCUGAUGUCACUGGUGGCAGAUGCAGUGUAUAUGUAUCUGUCUUUUGUCUGCACCAUCUGUUUUUCUCCUUACAGUCUAUUGUUCAGAUUUAUGCUUCUCUCUUUCCAGGAAGUGUGCCUUUCCAUAAGAGCACGGGCCUUAGGUGAUAAAGGGACCGACCCAAUAUUCUAACACGGUUUCCUUCUCUUCCUUCCCUCCUAGAAUCUUAUGGCAAGGGCCUUAUAUGACAAUGUCCCAGAGUGUGCCGAGGAACUGGCCUUUCGCAAGGGAGACAUCCUGACCGUCAUAGAGCAGAACACAGGGGGACUGGAAGGAUGGUGGCUGUGCUCAUUACACGGUCGGCAAGGCAUUGUCCCAGGCAACCGGGUGAAGCUUCUGAUUGGUCCCAUGCAGGAGACUGCCUCCAGUCACGAGCAGCCUGCCUCUGGACUGAUGCAGCAGACCUUUGGCCAACAGAAGCUCUAUCAAGUGCCAAACCCACAGGCUGCUCCCCGAGACACCAUCUACCAAGUGCCACCUUCCUACCAAAAUCAGGGAAUUUACCAAGUCCCCACUGGCCACGGCACCCAAGAACAAGAGGUAUAUCAGGUGCCACCAUCAGUGCAGAGAAGCAUUGGGGGAACCAGUGGGCCCCACGUGGGUAAAAAGGUGAGUAAAUGACUAACUAAAUUUUUGUUCCUACUUAUUUUUUUUUCCCAUUACACUUGGAGCAUUUGGAAAUGUUCCCAAAUUAAUAACUUGAAGCUGCCAAGAAGUAGAUAUAACCAAUACCUUAGCUCAGGCAUCAUGUUUGCAUGAUUUUGCCAUUCAUCCAUCAUUCAGCAAAACUUCUUUGAACUACCAUGUGCUGAGUACAGUUGAUUUCCAGCCCUCCUAAGUUCCUGUGUCAUCCUGGGUUACAUGGGUUAUUAAACUGUUUCUCUCCAUCUUUCUCAUAUAUCAGCUUCUAAGCCUUCACUCUGUGCUCAGAUCGUUUCCUAUCUUUUCUGUUUCUUCAUUGAGUGGAACAAACACCAAAUCUCGUACAAGCCUGAUGAUGCAACAAGGAUCCUCCCUUGGCCAAAAGCUGAAUCAUGACCUCAGUGGCCUGGCUGGACAAGGAACCCACCCAAAGUAGCGAGAGUGAGGAAGCUGGGAGUAUGUCAUGCUGACCAACUCGUUCUAUAGAGUUAUCAGCUUAGUUUGACUCAUUUAAAAAUGCACAGAUACUAGUGGAAUUGGAAUGAAGCCAUCCUCCUGUCCUUCAAGUCAUUCUUAUAAUAAUGCCUGAGGCAGUGGGUGAAAACAGUGGAGCUUGGAUAUUUAGGAAGGAAUUAAUUUAAAAAUACAGUGUGGGGAGCUCUGCAACACCCUGUGUAAUCCCAAAUACUUUAGCAAUUUGAGGUCAAUAGAAAUUCACUAAUUGAACAAUGAAUGUUGAGCAUCUAAUAUAUUUUUGAUGCUUGUGAUACAGUGAUUAAUUAAAGAUAAACAAAGCCCUGGUGAUGCUUACAUUGCCGUGGGGGAGACAGAAGCAACCAAGAGAAUGCUAGGUAGGGACACGUGUUAUCAGGAAAAUAAUGUCAGUGGACUGAUCGGGGGUAACACCCACAACCAAGGUGAUGCUUAUGUGAGCAUCACAAAGGAGGGAUUUUCUCUUUCAUUUGCUGGCAAAUUCCAAUGGGUCCUACAAGGUUUGGUAUUAGGAAUGAACAAAUUUAACUGGAUAAGAAGAUAUCCCUGAAUUACAAGAGGAAAGAUGCAAUUACAUACCAGAAAGAGCUUGUUGACCCUUAGAACACUAACUAUAGAUGUGUCCUGCCCCAAGUAAAUCUAAUAUGAAGUCUGAUUUUACAAACCUCUGUAAAUUAGGGAAUAUCUAUUUGAUGUAUUAGAAUCCUCUGUUGAAAAAACAAAGGAUUCCUUUAAACAAUGAAAGCACUAAUGCAUUUUUGGGUACAUGGAAAGAGGCAGCCUAGAGACCCUGUGGAGAGCCCUUAGUGUUUGGCUGGGGAGGUGCCAGGGCCACCCUCCUGCCCUCCCCAUCCUGGCCAUGUCACCACCCCAGACCCUGACCCUGUGUGGGUAGAUUCCUUUAAACAACAAAGCACUAAUGCAUUUUUAAAUCACCUUUGAUAUAAAAAGUAUGUUUUACAAAAUACUUCUCAAGAGCACGCGUGUGGCAUGAACUGAGCGUAGGUUCGUUAAGAGGGAUUCCUCAAGGGUGGUGCACAGCUUUUAGACUUGUACUGCCCACGACAACGAUGCUGCCUAGAGGUGAUAAACUGACUUGUGGCUUUUCAGUCUUCCUUGUCCUAGGAAUUGUAGAUUCAAAGGGAAAACAAAACCUGGCUUCUAUCUCCAGAGGGGAAAAAUAACAGUUGAAAGGUGUAACUAUAAAUAAGUAACUUCACUCAUUCUUAGUCCUGGUUGUUUGCACCUUAAAAAUAGCUCUCCCACAUCUGAGCCAGUGUGAGGCAGAAGGGGAGGCCAGAGCAGGAAAUGCUUGGCUGGGAGGUGGUGGGCUCUAAACUUUCAUCACAGUUGACUUUGGCAGGAAGGUAGCGUGUUUUCCUUUUUAGACCCAACCUUUUCAGCUCCAAGUCAGAGAAGCCUAAGCCUUCAGACUUCUUCCCCUUGUAUCUGCUGGGACUGCCCUGCAGGCUUUCCCCAUGGCUCCCCGUCCUUCCAGAGGGCAGAGAUACGGACUCAUCUUCCCUUGGAUUGAUGUCAAAGGGCUGGGGUGCUGGGGUGACCCUCGGGCACUCACAUUCCAUGUUUUGUUUUGCUUUUUUUAAGUCUACACUCAGUAGAACAUUUUCUGUUUAGCAAAAGGUAGAUGAGUCCUGCAGGAGGAAAUCAACUUCUGAAAAUGACCUGUGCCAGCCCUUCCAGGAGUUGCAGCCAGGGCUGAAGAGUAGGCCGUGCCUAAAGCAUCACACAGUCAGGGUCUGGGGUAGUGACAUGGCCAGGAUGGGGAGGGCAAGAGGGUGGCCCUGGCACCUUCCCUGCCAAAUACCAAGGGCUUCUCCACAGUAUCCUGAUCCUGGGUCUCUAGGCUGCCUCUCUCCAUGUACCCCAGAGCAGUGGUUCACAUCCAUGGGAGUGUGGUUGCCUCUUCCUUUCUUUUCACUCCCUUCCUCACUUCUCUUUUCUAUCUCUCUCUCUCUCUCUCUCUCUCUCCCCCCAUCCCUCCCUCCUUCCCUCUCCCUCCCUUCCUCCCUUCCUUCCUUUCUUUCAUAGUGGAGAUGGCUUAGCUGCUAGGAGGUGAUUUUAGCCUUCCAGGCAAUUGCAACUGCUUUAAAAAACAUCUGUCAACAUCUUCCUGGGUAUAGGAUAUUCUCAGUGGGUGGGAAUCAUUCUAAUGACUUAAGCCUAGGCCCUAAGAGAUAAUCCCAGCACACUGGGGAUCAGGCGUGGCUUUUUCAUUUUUCUGAGUUUGCAUUUUAGUAGUUUUACUGACUGGCUUAAUAAAGCAAUUUGCUCAUUUUCUCUUUAAAUUUUUCAUCUGUAAGAUAAUAUGAGCCCAGAACUAGAUAUGCCUGGUAGUUUAAGCUAUGGUCUUUAAAAGCUCUUGAAUAAGAAAAUAAGGAGGCAGUGGAAUCUUAUUCUGAGCCACCGGGGUGGGGUUUAAAAAUGUUAAUGGGCAUAGAAUCACCCAGAGAGGUAGGGCAGUGAGUUUAAAUGCAGAUUCCCAGGUCUUUCCCUCAGAGAAAUUAAUCCAGUAGGUCUGGUUGGGGGCCCAGGAAUCUGCAUCUUAUUGAGCUCCUUGCAUAGUUUUGUGGGUGGUGGCCUAGGACUAGACUUUGAGAAACACUGUAAAGGGACCAUGAAGGGGCUGGGACAUGCUCCAAUCUGAUUAUGAUUUGGGACUUUCCAUAGUUCAAAAUUCCCUUGAUAUUGCUACAGACUGUGGGCUUCCGAAGUUUUACCCAGCACUGCUUUUUUCUACUAAUGAAUCACUUAAGGAAAAAAAAAAGACAGUGAAUUCUGCCUUCUAUCACUUCAACUUUGCUCUCUUGGAAACUCCAACCUCUACCCACCCUCUUGCAUCCCCUCCACACUAACUGACAUUCAUCACAUAUUAAAUCAGCAUUUAGAGAAAGAAAUAUAGUCAUAAAAUCCCCACCCUUUUAGGAAACAAGCAGACAGUGUGAGAAUUGUGGAGAGAGUAAGGCCUUCAGGGUUCAGCUGAUGCUGGGUUGUUUCUCCAUAGCUGUAUAUCCUUUGGUAAGUUACUGACCAUCUCUACGCCUUGGUUUCUUCAUCUGUUUAAUGGGAAUGAUACUAACUACUUCAUAGGCUGUCGUGAGAAUUAAACAGAAGCAUACAUAGAAAGUCCCUGGCUCAGUGCUUAGCAUGGCAGGGGCUUAAAAGAAUGCAUUCCUCUCACCUUGCGUUUCCUUUCUCAGAGUUUAUUUCCUACUACAUCAGCCCUGUUGUGUUUCUUACGACACACCGAAGGUACAAGUGCUUUCUUGCUAACACAUAUGCUGUGUUUUUUGAGUGUGUGGCUUUCUCUUUGGUUCUGCAAGAAUUCUGCAAAGGGUGGAAAAAAACUCUCCAAGUUAUCUGAAAACCAUAUACGCUGACACCUUUACUUAAUUUCAUUGGUCUUUUUCACUCUGUGUUUUGUGCACAGGGCCGUUUUAUCCAUUAGGCGUUGUAGGCAAUAUGCCCAGUGCCUAUAAGAAUGUUUGGGAGCUGAAUAAAAGAUCUUUUGACUCCAAAAUAUGAAACACAAAAACUGCAAAAUAGAAAUUAAUAAACAUUUAGGUCAAUGUCUAGGAAACCAUAUCAUGUCUGCCCCAUUAAUUGUUUUAUUUAGGGCUUAUAACUAUUUCAUCAUAUUAGAAAACAGUAUGUAGGUUAUAUUUUUCUCACUUUGCAAAGAUUUCUAAAUAUGCAUCAUGGUUGCCAAGAACCCACAGGCAAUCCUAAAUUAAAUAAGUUACUCAUAGUCGAAUAAUUUGAAAAACUGAAUUAUAAAGGAAGAAAAAAAGUUUUCAAUUUUUAACAGCAAAAAUUCUACUUAAUAUGGGAUUAUGGUUUGGGGUAAAUGAAAUCUACAAAUGUUCAAAACCAAAAGCCUAAAAAGAUCUAAAAUAGUCUCAUUUCUCUGCUUCAAAGAUCAGUGAAAUUGCUACCUGAGUUCAUCCAUUUCACAGUUGAUCUGCAUGGGAAAUUAUAUGUGCUUCUCUGAUUUUUCUUUGGAUGUGUCGCUUUUAUUCUAACUGCUGGAACUAUUUGUUGUACCUCUUUCUGAAGAUCAGUUUGGGGCUAAAUUACAAGCUCCAUCAGCACAGGGGCCAUGGCUGCCUCCUGACUGCUGUAGGCUGAGCACUUGGUAGAGCAUCAGCCCACAGAUAGCAGCCCAGUGAACCAAUGAACAGGUGGAAGCAAGAAUCAAAGUGUUAAAUGAGAGUUAACCUUUAAUUAACUGAAAGGUGGUUCUGAUCUUAUCACACAUCCACCCUCACACGCUGCUGCUCGAAUCCCAUGGUUCAGCUCAUUACCAUCUGGUAUGAGAGGUGUCAGAUUAUAUACAGUCAUUUCCCUCGCUGAAGGACCUUCCAGAAUGUCACUGCCUGUGUCCUGUAAGGGUAACUAUUCAUAUACAAUCAAUGAGCACCUUGAUGCAAAGCAUGAGUGAUGUAAAGAAGGGCUUAUCUGAGAGUUUAACUUCUGUGCAUUUUGCCCAAUUUAGACAAGAUUAGUUAACUCCUCUGUGGUCACCUAAGGAGGAAAACUAGGCUUUUUUUUUUUUUUUUUGAGUCAGGGUCUCGCUCUGUCACCCAUGCUGAAGUGCGGUGGUGCCAUCUCGGCUCACUGCAACUUCUGGCUCCUGGGUUCAAGCGAUUCUCAUUCCUCAGCCUGCCCAGUAGCUGGGACUAUAGGCAUGCGCUACCAAGCCUGGCUAAUUUUUGUGCUUUUAGUAGAGACGGGGUUUUGCCAUGUUGGCCAGGCUGGUCUUGAACUCCUGGCCUCAGGUGAUAUGCCCGCUUCAGGUUCCCAAAGUGCUGGGAUAAUAGGCAUGAGCCACUGCGCCUGGCCUAACUUUUUCUACUGAGGGGCAGAACUUCCUUUGCAUAUGUUAUGAUUUACCUAGAAUGCCUUUCCCUUCUAUUUUCCCUGUGAACUCCUAUCCAUUCUUUAAAACCCACUCCAAGGUUCAUCCCCCUCAUGAAGCUUCCUCUCUGCAACCCAGCAGUUUCUCCCUUCCCUAUGGUCCCAGAAUGUGUUGUAUAUUCCAUUGAUCUCAAGGGCUUCUUAAAAAUGGAAUGGUCUGCCAUUGCAAUGUGUGUGAUGGUCUGGACUGGGGUAAGUAUUGCUUUGAGGUGGCACUUGGAAAACUGAAGUAAUAUUCAGAUUUACCAAGAUCCUAUGACAUCAUCUUUAAGGACCAUUUUCUACCUUCCAAAAUGGGUCACGGCCAAAUGUUGGCAGGAAAUGAUUCAAAGGUUUUAGCCAGGUCUUCCAGGCCCAUUCCUGAAAGGUAAUGUAAGAAACAGAAAUAGAUUAGCUACAAUGUUUGUACCUUCCUAGACACUGAGUCAUCACAAAUUACACACAUACACGUACAUACACAUACACAUACACACACACAGACACCCAUAAGCUGUUGGCUAAGGAACAAGGACUUCCCUUAUUGGAAUUUGAGGCAUUGUGCAAUCUGGUUGCCCAGAGCGACACUCAGAUACUAGCCAACUAAGUGCUAUAUAUUAGCAGCAUGACUUGUCUAACAACAAGCAAAAAAUAGGUUUAGAGGAAAUGAAAGCUUCCAGAAAAGUUAAAUUCUGACUUCACCUCACUUUCUCCUGUUCCUUGCCUAUACACACACAAAAUACGUACACACCCAAAAAAUACUCCUAGGGCAGAGGGUACUUCGGUUUCCUCAUUUAUAAAUCAAUAAAGUACAACUAUGUUCCAGAAUUGUACAUUUCUACAUAAAGAUAAUCCUAAUGUAUAUGAAUUGUUUGCCUCGAUACAUGGGUUUUGGGGCUAUGCAGAGAACUGUACUUGCCAUCUAAAAUGUCACCCCUGAAGUUUCAAGAUACAUUUUAAUAUUACACAAAACUGGAGGUCAUUCAGCUCUUGAAGGGCAGGACUUUAUGAGCUCACUUUGAAAAUGAGAAGUUAUCUUUUCUCAGACAAGUCACCCGAGCCAAAGCAAUGAGCAAACUCUAACACCCCUCCUUAAAAAUUAACAAAGGUCCUUUUUGUUUGGCCAGUGCCAAAGCCUUCAAACUCAGUUGCACUUCGUUCUAAAUUUUAUAGAUAAUGCAUAUUUCUAAGAGUGCAUUAGUAACUUCUUAUAAACCCACACCAAAGCAAACAGAGGUUAACCCUCCUUUUUCAAUGAUUUCAUGCUAAAUGACUGUGCUUAUCAGAGUGAAGAGGUAAGAGACUGCUUUAAUAUGAUGUCUGGCUAAGUAGGAGAACACUGUGAGAGAGAGAAAACAGAAUAAAUUUAUUUAUUUAAUUUCAUGAUAAACAAUAUUCGUUGAACACAUCUUUUUUUUUAUUUUUGAGAUGGAGUUUCACUCUUGUUGUCCAGGCUGGAAUGCAAUGGCGCAAUCUUGGCUCACUGCAACCUCCGCCUCCCAGGUUCAAGCGAUUCUCCUGUCUCCGCCUCCCAAGUAGCUGGGAUUACAGGUGCCCACCACCUUGCCCGGCUAAUUUUUGUAUUUUUAGUAGAGACGGGGUUUCAUCAUAUUGGUCAGGCUGGUCUCAAACUCCUGAUCUCAGGUGAUCUGCCCACCUCGGCCUCCCAAAGUGCUGGGAUUACAGACAUGAGCCAUCACGCCCGGCCUGGUUGUACAAAUCUUUAAAAAAAGACUUGCUUGACUACAUUGUGCAAAAUGCAGAACUAGAAACUGUCAGCAAUCAAAAGCACUUCAUUCUAACUAGCUGUGCCUUAAACGUUGUCAAGAUAACUUCUAGAGAGAUGUGCUGCUCCUGUUUAAAGUGUGUCAGUGCCACUCACAUAGGACAAUGUGUGUUCCUCAAAAGUCGGAUGUAGGUCGGGCGCAGUGGCGCAUGCCUGUAAUUCCAGCACUUUGGAAGGCCGAAGUGGGUAGAUCACCUGAGGUCAGGAGUUUGCAACCAGUCUGACUGAUACCAUGAAACCCCGUCUCCACUAAAUACAAAAAAAUUAGCCAGGCAUGGUGGUGCAUGCCUGUUAAUCCGAGUUACUUCGGAGGCUGAGACAGGAGAAUCGCUUGUACCUGGGAGGCAGAGGUUGCAGUGAGCUGAGAUCACGCCAUUGCACUCCAGCCUGGGCAACAAGAGCAAAACUCUGUCUCAAAAAAAAAAAAAAGUAGGAUGUAACUCCAGUAACAUUUGAAGAGUGCCAAGGAGUCCUCUCUUUAAAGGGAUCCUACAGUAUAUCAGUUUUUUGAAGCAAAGAAGCCUUUAGCAAUGCCACAAUCGCCUCUGAUUUAUUUGAUUAAUUUUUGUAAUACUUGGUUUUCUUAAAGCAUGGCACACUUAAACCAGUUAUUUAUUGGAAUAGUUUUUGUUUUCAAAGUCACUACCAAUUGAAUGUGCAGCCUUCACUGGUGUCAUUACCCCAUGCUUCCGUCUCAUUUUGCAAGAUAGUGUUAGAACUAAAGUGGGGGUGACCCCAAGGCGCCUUGAGCCUUGGCUCCAUGUUAGGGAUCCCAUAGAGGUACUACCACCUGAUCCUCUCCACAGCCUCGUGAGGUGCACCUCACAGCAUUUGCUGUUCAGAGGAGGGAACUGAGGUCUGAGAAGGAAAUUCACUUGCUGAAGUUAACUUGCUGCCUCCAGUGAGAGGCAGGAUUGAUAUUUGAGCCCACGUCUGUCUGACUCCAAUGCUAAUGAUUUUUACAUCCCGGCUGAAGGAUGAUAUUGCCAAGCCCUUAAAGAAGAAGGCAUAUUUGGACACCUCAUUAGCAAUUUGGGCGCUAAAUCAUACCCUGUUGGCCAGGAAGAAUUAAAGUUGCUGCCCAGGGCUCCCACCUCAGGUCCAGGGAGUAGCCUCAAUACUGAGGGAAUCUGAAUUAAGGAGCUUGGAAGUUCCCCCCACCUAGCUGUAGUGGGCAGUUUCAGAGUGGGCUGAUCCAGGAGUCCUGACCAGGUCAGUAGGGUGAUGUCUAGACUCCAGUACCACUGAGAAUGUUGCUAUGUUGGCUUUCUCUGCCACACAGAAAAGUCUUUUCUUUCCUUUUCUUUUCUUUCUUUCUUUCUUUUUUUUUUUUUUUUUUGAGACGGACCCUCCCUCUGUUGACCAGGCUGGAGUGCAGUGGCACAAUCUCGGCUCACCACAACCUCCGCCUCCUGGGUUCAAGUGAUUCUCCUGCCUUAGCCUCCCGAGUAGCUGGGACUAUGGGUGCGCACUACCAUGCCUGGCUAAUUUUUGUAUUUUUAGUAGAGACAAAGUUUCACUACGUUGGCAAGGCUGGUCUCAAACUCCUGACCUCGUGAUCUGCCCACCUCGGCCUCCCAAAGUGCUGGGAUUAUAGGCGUGAGCCACCACGCCUGGCCUAAGACUGUCUUUCCAAAUGACUUCAAAUUCCUUCAAAUGGGUAACUUCAUUUAACCAGGUGGGGGCACCUCCCAAAACACAAGUUACCCAGCUUUCAAGUUGUGGCUCUCAUAUAAGGAAGUAACUUUCUUUGAGAGUAUUUACUUGUGAAAUUAUAAAAGUAGUAAAUUUCUGGAAAAUGUCUAACAUGUAUUGCUAGCGUAGGCCGCAGGGCAUUGAGAAACGUAUACCGCUGCACUGCUGGCCCAGCUAACCAAGGGUCUCCUUCACUUCUUUGUCAUUAAUAGCCUGAGUAACUAACUCCACUUUAGUUCCCUCAACUGUGAAAUGGCAAGUGAUGCUAGAUUAUCUCUAAUGAUCUUUGCUAAAAUUUUAUAUCCUUAUCUGAUUCUCAAGCAUUGAUUAUAAAUUUCAACUUGACCCUUAAGUUUUUGCAAAUCUUUCCUACUCUUCCUUUAGGAUCCAGCCCACCAUCCCAUCCAGAACCACAGUGCCCUUUGGAAGACAGAGCUAUGCCAAAAGACAGCAGGAGCAGGCAGGGACACAAGGAGGCAGGGACUGGAGUGUGCUGAGCCAGUGAGAAUCAGUGUUUGACAGACCUGGGUCCUGUACCCAAAAAAACUUCCAGAGUUCCCCAUUAAGGAGCACUCUCAUCCCUGUUUUGUUACCAAGAGCUAAGAAAGCACUUCAUCCUGGAACUCAUUGUUUUCUGCCCAUUUUCCCCUAUGUAAUCCUCUUGGAUUUUGCAGACGUUUUAGGCCUGUUGUCUCUGGACACGACAACCACCUUCAGAGCUGGCACCGAGUUCUGCCUUGUGAGUGGUUUGCCCCAUCAGCCACUGCAUCCCUUCUUCCAACUAAACCUGAGCGUUCUCCUCUUUAGGAAGAAAUGAUACCAAUCGGCAUUUGGGUCCCAAAAUUCUCAUCUCUCACCUCCUCUUCACAGUCCCUUUCCCCUUAGGGCAGUCUGUGGGCAUCUCUCUAAAAUCCAUUUCCCAAUCUAGAUGUAGCGCUCAGAGUCCUGUUGAAUUUAUUUGGACAUCAAAAGAGCCACAAUACUUGUGCUUUUUUAUAGUUUUCUUUCAAAGAACAUUUCAGUCCAUGAGACAGAAAAAAAAUGGCUUUGCUGUAUCCAACUUGUCACAGGCUUGUAUUUGGCAUUGUUCUGAGAAAGACCUCAACCACUCGUGAAACCCAGACGUCAUUUCCCGUCGUGUUCUUUCAUGUUAAAUGCUUCUAGCUGCUCGCUGGUGCUUGGUCACUCUAUAACUAAAUAUUGCUUUAGCACUGGCUACACAAAGAGCUUCCUGAAAGCAGCAGGGGGGACAUGCUAGGGGCUUAACAAUAGGGGCACUGUUUCCAUUGAGCGGGUUUGCUGCCCAACGCUGUGUCAAAUGAAAGUGACCCAGGAGCACCACUGCUCCACUUCUGAGCUUCCACUUGUGACUUUUUCCUCACUGGGGAAAGAAGCUGGCUGUGAUUUAGAUGUGGCUAGCAAAAGGUUUAGUUCUGGCAUAAAAUCAGGCAUCAGAACGACUUUGAAAGAAAGUAAUUCACCUUCAAAAAUACAUGGGGAAAAAACUUCAUGAGCACCAGAGAAGCAUUUGGAAGAGUUAACCUUGGACAUGGCUUACGAGGGUGUAUUUUUAAGGCCAGACUCAGUUUUCAUUAUAUUGUUGCUAUGCAAGUAAAUAAAUGAGCUCACUGCUACACCCAAGCUGGGCAGAAUGAAUUUACAGAGAAUUAAUAAAUCCAGGGUAGGCAACAUGUGGCUUUUCUUCUGGUCAUAGAGAAGCAACUAGUACUCUUGGAUUUUAAGCAGGCAAACCUCUGUAGCUUUACAGUUUCUGAAAAUUGGAUCCCAGUUCUAAUGGGCAGGCAGUGAUAAUGGUAAUGUUUCUUUUCCUAAGGUUUUCUUUAAAGGGAAGGGAUCAAAUAGUUCAUUUAAGACAAAGAGGUUAUUAUAAAGUCUAAUAAAUACUGUGGUAGCUCUGUUAAUGCUUUUCAAGGGCAUUUAAGUGAAAGAAGCCCUUUCCAACAGGCAGUUUUGGAAAGCUAAACACUCUUGUUAAUUCAUGAAACGCAAAGAGAGAUAAUAUAAAUAAAUCAGGGGCUGGGGAGGAAUUAGAGAUAGACAGGAAGCAGUCAAAUUUUACUUCCCACAUAUGCCAAGAAAAGUGCAAAUACAUGGCUGUUACUUAGUAAAACCUACUUUUAAAUUCAGAGAAUCGUAGGUACUAUGAAUGGUGAGGUUAUAAAUCUGUAAUCAUUACAGCACGGGGACACUUUUUAACUUCUCAUCAAUUACCCAUUGUUAUUUCCUGAGCACAUCCUGGGUUACCUAGCUCCUGACUAGGCAUUAGGGAAGGACACAAGAAGCUGACUCCACACAUUAGUACUCUACUAAAUUCAUGGGUAAACUCCACUGGUCAAUAAUCAAGUCACUAUCUCUAUAUUGGAGGCAAAGGAUUGCACAAUUCAGGCUAUUUGUAAUGUUGCUUUGGAUUGUAGAGACUUAGACUCAGAGGAAUCACGGGACAUAGAAUCUAGAACAGGUCUGUGUCCCAUCAUUCUCUUAAAAGAAAACCUUUCAAGUAAUAUUUCUUAUUAUCUUUUAAAAUCUUGUUAAAAUGACAAAAUAUAUAUAUAUUUGUAAUUUUUAAAAUUUUGAUGCAUACAAAGAUAGACAUAGAUAGAUAGAUAAUGUAGAAGUAUAAAUAAUAAUAAGUCACUAGAGCAUGACUAACUAGUGAAGUUACCCAGUCUCCUCUCCAUCCCAUCUCUCUGUCUCCCAUCCACUCUACCCAACUCUUCCUUUCAAAGAGUAGGAUUUUUCUGCUUCGUUUUUUUACUGCUUUGUUCUUACUUAGGGUUGCUGGAAGCACAUGGAAGGAGGGAAGUAGUCAAAACAAGACAGUGUUGUGAGGGGAGAGAUGAGAAGUCAUGAUAAGUAGGUGGGUGGGUGACCCACAGGGCUGGCAUCAGAAGGAAACAUAGCAAAACAUGAUGGAUAUGAGGCUUGCUGUGGGGAGGGGGAUUGGCCUUUGUGAGUGGCAGCCGUCUGCUCCCUUCCCGCUUCCCUUAGUGCUCCAUUGAGCUAGCAGCAUGCAGCUGAGAAGUUGAAGUUCUGACCACAUGGCCUCUGCUGCCGCUGCUCUGCCCCAUCCCAGGCACCUAGCCAGCUCUGCAUUAAGGAGGUGAAGUGGAUGCCCAAGGAAAGAAGUGCCCCCAAGGAGACUUGCUGAGACCUUGAACAAGUGACACAAUGUGAGCAGAACUUGUCUUGACAGAAAAUGCUUUGUCUCUAGGUGUUCCAGAGAGAUGGGCAAGUGUCCUAUUUCUUAGUGAGAGCCUCUAAACAAACCAGCUUGUGAACCUCCACUGAAAAGAUCUCAUCUGAUGAGCAUUUUAAUAAAGUGUCCUGAGUUUGGAGGCUUGCCGUCUUUCUCUUGGAUAAAUAUCUUCAUCUCCUAGACUUGGAAAAACACAUUUUCUCCUGGGGUUUCCCAUUGGCGUGUCUUGAGCUGCUCUGGUGAUAACCGUAAUAAUGCCAAUACUGAUACGAACAGCAGAAAACAGUAACCCCAAGAACUCUACAGAUGAUCAUCAAGGACCACUGUCUCUUACCAUUUGCUGCUUUGGUUUGAAAUUCUCACUGCCUCGUAGAUCUCAUUUUGAGCACUAUACAUUCCUAAAGAUUGAUUUCUUUCUAUCUGACUUAAAUUUAGGAAUGAUUAAAUCUUCAUUUCUCCCAUGAUUUGAUCCUAAAACAUUUUGAAAGGAAACAGCCUUGAGAUCUGUGAUUACUAAGACAUACAUAACAUUCUUAUCACAUUAGAAAGCAAGAAUUGACUGUUGCUUGUCUUGUUCCUGUUGUCUUGUCCCCUGAAUUCCUGUUUAUCUUUGAUUGUAUGUGGGACAUUGUAUUUUCAGUACAUUUGUAGAAAUAAUGUGAAGCCUAUAAAGAUGUUCUCUGCCUCCAGAGAGAAUUUUGUUUCCUUCUGCCAGCCUCAUAGGCAAGCAUACAUCUGAUUCCAUGCUUUGAGCUGUUCUGGCAACCCUGAUGUCUUCAGCCUGUGCAAGGGUGGGUUUACUUCCAGUUAAUCCUUAUUUUGGAUACAGUCCUUAGGGUUCCAACCCAAAGUCGGGGGUGGUUUGGGGUCCCUGCCUUGGUGAGCCCUAUAGUCCAAUGUUCCCCCUUACCCAAAGAAGCUGUAGAAAACCCAGCACAGCCUCCCAGGCACCAGUUUCAGAUCAGCAAAAAAUAGCAAAUGCCCCCAGGCUUGAAAAGCAAUCUCACCUCUAUUAACUCUUCUCCCAAAGUUUGACCUAGUAAUUCUUUAUUAUCCUUGAACUCUUGACACUAUUAAGAAGAUCUUUUCGGCUGGGCGCAGUGGCUCACGCCUGUAAUCCCAGCACUUUCGGAGGCCGAGGCGGGCGGAUCACGAGGUCAGGAGAUCGAGAUCGUCCUGGCUAACACGGUAAAACCCCGUCUCUACUAAAAAUACAAAAAAUUAGCUGGGCACGGUGGCGGGCGCAGUGGGCGGGUGCCUGUAGUCCCAGCUACUCGGAAGGCUGAGGCAGGAGAAUGGCGUGAACUCAGGAGGCGGAGCUUGCGGUGAGCCGAGAUCUCACCACUGCACUCCAGCCUGGGCGACAGAGUAAGACUCUGUCUCAAAAAAAAAAAAAAAAAAAAAAAAAAAAAAAAAAAAAAAAAGAUCUUUCCUAGCUUUUCUUCAUUUUUUUAAGUUGUCUUCAGCAAGAUGGUUAAUCUCAAUUACCUAGUCCAUGAUUUCUGGAAGUCAAAGUCAAAAGGUAAAAUCUAUAUAGCCUAGGUGACAAUUACAAUAACAAUAACAAUAGCUAAGGCUUAUUAUGGCUUUAUGCCAGGUACUUUAUGCACUUGAUCUCAUUUAAUACUCAUAUAGCCUAUGAGGGAAGUAUAAUUUCCAUUUUACCUAUGAGAAAACAGGCUUAGAAUGGAACCUUUGUUCUCAUAGCUUGUGAGUGGUAGAACCGGGAUUUAGAUCCAGCUCUGCCUGAGUCCAGCUUCUGUUUGUCAAUUACUUCCCUCUUCAGACCUAAUUCUUCCAAUAAGCAACAGAAAAAGACCCAGUGGGGCCAUGGCCUCUGGCACACAGCUUCUCAUAAACGAGCCUAUCACACAUCCCCAGAACUAAAGCAAUCGUAUGUUCCUUCUGAUGUUGAGGUAAAAAGCAGGGUUUGUUUUGGUUUCCCUUUUCCAAAACACUCCCCCACAUGUUUCUGGCUUGUGGUUAAGAAGAACCCAGGUGUUCAUGUCACAUACGAGCUCAACUGGGGAAAAGGAAACCAUCCAGCAGCCCUCCUUGCCUGCCAAUAGUGGCUUCACCCAACUUGGGGUGCAUUCUUCUACAGUUUCUGAUUUCUCAACUUCACCUAACAUUCCCUUGCCUUCUUGGAUCCCUCUCUUGCCCAACACUACCAUGCAUGGCUGAUAGGGCACUGUUCUGCCCCAUAUCCCAUGGGUUCUACUUAACCCAGAGCUGGCUUACCUGGAAACCAAGCUUAUUCUGUAGUGGCAGACCUCACGCCAUCUUGCUUAAUAGCCUUCAGUUUUCCUUUAGUUGAUUAAUGUAUCACUCAAUAGAUUAUGCAAGACCUACUCUGCUAGGCACUGUACUAGGCCCUGUGGUUUAUAUUUAAAUGAAGAGGGAAUGAUCUCUGACUUUAAAAUGCUGGAAGAAGAGAUGAGAUGCAUCAAGACCGUCAAACCACAAGUGAUAAGUGCUGUCAGAGAUGUGUGGAUCACUGGCUCAGGGAGUUCCAAGGAUAGAGACAUAUUAUCUGUUUGGGAAGGGCUUGGUGGGGGAAAGGCAUUCAGCCGGGCCUUGAAAAUCAAUUAAAGUUUGAAUAUGAGGAAAGAAAGAAGAGCAUCUCAGACAAGGACAUGGCAUGGAUGAAGGCACAGAGGUAUGGGCGUGCAGGGCAUCUGUGGAAAUGGACAGCUCAGUUCUCGCCGAGGGAGGGAGUUGGUGCAGAGCCUGGGGGCCCUGCCUUCAGAAGAUUUCCAAGAGGAAGGAGGGCAAAAAUACACAGAUGAAGGCAAAGACUGGCAGCCCGGAGGCCAAAGACGCGUUUAGUUUGGCCAAGACACUGUUUUUAAAAUUUAAGUCAAUUUUGAAAACCAGGUUUCACAUAAAAUUCCAAAUUUCUGGCUUCUGAAAACGUGAAAGAUCUGGCAACACAGGGCGCAAUGUCUUCCCUCUUUCGGUAGAAGGAGUUCUGUCUCCCCGGCACCAAAGCCUGGCUUGUUUCUUCCCUACACCCUGCUUGCUCGGUCCGUGAGCAUCUGAGUAUAGGACCCUUGCUCUGCUAUGGGUACCAGCUCAGGGAACACAGAUGCAGAAACAUCAGAAAGAGUCCCAAGGGCCUCUCAUCCAACUUGCUGACUGUCAUCAUGCUGGUUCUCAGACCUCCCUAUCUCUCUCUGCUAUCCAAACACAGACCCUCCUCUUUAAAAUUUCAGCAUACAUGGCUUUCAAAAUUAUGAGGCAUGAAAGUGUCAAAAGCAUCUCCAGAAACUCAUGCCGCCAGGAUCUGAGACUCAAAACAGUGUGGAUCAAACACCAUCAAAGUGUGGGGUGGGGCAAUUCGAGUUUGUUUCCUUGUUUUUAUGUAAGCAGAUUAAUUAGAGAACUAACAUAACGCCAGUCUUUGGGCUUUUGAUCCUAUCCUGCCAGGACCCAGACUUGGAGAUGUAUUAAAUGGAUUCUUCCUUUUCUAAAUGGAAGAAUCUGCCCUUCUCGGCUUCAUAGCUCUUCUCAAAGUCUCUGUCUUGGACCCUCCCGUUAGUUACUGAGAAUGGUAUACUAACAUCUGAGAAAGGUUGGAUUCCUCCUAGGGACAGAAAAUCCACAUAUGGAAAGUGCAAAUCCUGUGCCGGGUAAUCACGAAAGCAGUUGCAGUAGCAUUGGAUCAUAGAGCCCCAGGAGACCUCACAAUUCAGCCCCCUUCCUGGCAACACUAAUGAAUUAAGAGGUCAGUUUGGUAAUUCCAAAGGCUAAGCCUUUGUAACUAUAAAUAAAUGCACAGAAUGAAAGGAAUGUAGAAAAAAAAAAAAGCAAACAGAGGGGGAAAGGAAAUGAAAAACCUGACUUGAUUUCAUUGAGAAAAUUAGUUUAAAAAUGUCCUUUGUGUAGCAAUUCCUUUAAUGCCUCACCGAACAAAUGCCUAGGAGAAUUCUUCCAAACUUGAGGUCCCCUUAACCAGACCUUGGUGUGCGUCUUCAGCUGAAAUUCAGCAGUUCUGGGAGGUGGAAUGAGGAGAGAUCGUUGGAAGGUUUUUGUGUACUUAUGUCACGCAGCAAGAAAAAGCCUUAAUGAACCACAAAACUGGAGACUUUGUAAGGUACAGCUCAGUCAGCACUUUUCCUCCGAGGAGAGGACACACAAUUGGCAUGAAAGUGACCCAAGCAACAGGUCGAGGCAGAGAAUGUCCAAAAGUAGAAGACUUCGAGCUCCCUGAUCUUCCACACGUCACAAUGCGGAUUGCUGCACUGGACUUGGCAUUUAAAUGGGACCAGCAUUUUGCAUCCUGGUCCCAUUUAAAUGCCAUUUGUGGACCAACGUGAAUUAGAUGGUAAUGUCAGGAAGGCUGGAAUCGGUGGUGGCGGGCGGGGGGUGCUGUAUUCGGUUGGCGUUUCCCCCCUGUGGUUUUCACCAUCUGUUUCUUUGAAUGCAUAAACAAGGAAAAUGACUGGUUUGGAAUGCAGAGUUUUAAAAAACCAGAAGACCACAGGCAUCCUCUAAAUGAGAAAGAGAGAGCAAGUUGGGGUUCUGUGACAUUUGUCAGGAAGUGAAAUGUUAAAUACCGGGAAGCAUUAGCGCUUUCUGCCAGGGAAGAUCCACAAAGGCAAGGAAACACUUUAGCGGUGAACCUGCCUUCCUUUUCUGAGGUCGUGCUAUGUGUUUAUAUGUCACCUAGUGCUAUUUUCAGACACCAACGCCACCCACUCUAGCUCCCAAUCCCCUUCUGGGUUUUUUGUUUGUUUGUUUGUUUUGUUUUGUUUUGAGACAGAGUCUCUCUCUGUCACCCAGGCUGGAGUGCAGUGGAACGAUCUUGGCUCACUGCAAGCUCCUCCUCCCAGGUUCACGCCAUUCUCCUGCCUCAGCCUCCCAAGUAGCUGGGACUACAGGCGCCCACCACCACACCUGGCUAAUUUUGUGUAUUUUUAGUAGAGAUGGGGUUUCACUGUGUUAGCCAGGAUGGUCUCGAUCUCCUGACCUCGUGAUCCGCGAUCCUUGCCCUCCCAAAGCGCUGGGAUUACAAGCGUGAGCCACCACGCCCAGCCUGUUUGUUUGAUUGUUUGUUUGUUUUUUGAGACGGAGUUUCACUCUUUUUGCCUAGGCUGGAGUGCAGUGGCAAGAUCUCAGCCCACUGCAACCUCCGCCUCUCGAAUUCAAGUGAUUCUCCUGCCUCAGCCUCCCGAGUAGCUGGGAUUACAGGCACAUGUCACCACACCCGGCUAAUUUUAUAUUUUUAGUAAAGACGGAGUUUCACCAUGUUGGCCAGGCUGGUCUCCAACUCCUGACCUUAGGUGAUUCUCCCGCCUUGGCCUCCCAAAGUGCUGGGAUUACAGGCAUGAGCCACUGCGCCCGACAUGCCCGCUUCUGUUUUUUAAACGAAAGAUGAACAGUUAAGCUGGACUUAGCCUUGGUUUUCCAUUAGCAUUAUUGCUAAGUUGGCAACCUUGGAUAAAAUCCACUCUUGGAAACUUUUAAGCUGAACAAAAGCUGCACUAUGAGCAGGUGCUAUGAUAAAGCCAAGACAGCGCUCUAAGUAGAGGGGCUGAUGAAAUAGACUAAGGGGAGAUCUUCAUUUCUCUCCUGGACAAUAGCGAGUAAAAAAAAAAAAACAAUCAUAUAAGGGCAUUAGGAACACAUUGUGUUUUUCUUUAGCAAAGGGCAUCCUGCUUUGAAAAGGAAGGUUUGCUAUGCACAAUACAGUGGCCAUUCUAUAAAGUGGUUCCGUAUGCUCCAUGCCAACAGACCUCAAAGCAAUAGGUUCCUUUUUUAAACCCAAGACAGUGGAGAGACUUGAUGGAAAUUUUGAGUGCAUACUAAUCUCUUUUACUUCGUUGCAAGAAACAAUCAGUUGUAAGCACUAGGGAUUAAAAGCCAAAUUGAACUCAGGCAUUUUGAGAGCGCCUGGGGAGAAGGCAUUGGUGCAUUUGGCUGAGUUCCACCCAUUUCAGCAUAAGAUGGACGUGGAGCAUUUUUCACAUAGUUCUGUAGGCAGCCUGACGCCAGAGUUUUCACUUCAGAGAAAGGAUAAAAGUUGACGGUUUCUUAGGGAACAACCAACUCUUCCUCAUUUGCAAUGUCUGUUCUCCUCAAAGAUGUCGUGGGCAACGCUUGAGAUGGGCACUCAAUGACUCAAAGGGUGGGGGUUAGGCAGAAACAAGACCCUGGGCAUUUAGAAGCCCUUGGACGAUUACAUAUAUUUCAAAAUGAGUUAAGUUCAAAUAAUUUUUUGCUGGUGCUUAGCACACCAAUGAAGUAUGUAGAUAUGAAAACAGGAGGCUGCUAGGUAAGAUUCAUUUUAUUGGCACUGGUUCCAGAUGCCAGCAUCGUGAUGAACGCUAUUUGACUUCUGAUAUCCCUUGACGUAGGUACUGUUGGGGAUGUUUUCUUUCCUGGUGGAAAUGGGAAAAUGAUUAGAGACCAGAGGUCAGGAGACCUGAAUUCUGUUCCUGGUGCCUCCCUGACUCAGUAUUUUGUUUGUUUGAUACGUUAGAAUGAAAGCUCCCAGAGGUUUCUAAGGACAGCACAGUUUGAGCAUUGGCUUUGUAAAAGUACUCUGGUGACCUGUGGAAUUACAGUUAUAAUCAUCAUAAUAAUGUCCAAUGAAGAGGCAUACUGAGGAAGGCAUGAGAGGAAUUUUAAGUGGCUAAACUCUAUUUGCAUUAUUCAUUUUACAAAUUGUUUCAGAGCCUUAAAGCAAAUUUCAGUAUGCGGUACUUUAGAUGCAAAAUGCUCCUCUAGGACUUUCAUAAGUUACACACAAGUAUCCCUUAAAGUAUAUUUCAGAAAUAUGCUUGCAGUGCAUCAACUCUAUCUGAUGAACUUUGAGAUGAUCACAAUUAAGGGUGAUAGAGAUAUUUUAGGGAUUUUUUUUCUCAUUGGGAUUCAAGAGGGAUUUAAAAGUUUACUAACCUGGGCCAGAUGCAGUGGCUCACACCUGUAAUCCCUGCACUUUUGGGGGCUGAGGUGGGUGGAUCACCUGAGGUCAGGAGUUUGAGACCAGCCAACAUGAUGAAACCCUGUCUCUACUAAAAAUACAAAAAAUUAGCUGGGCAUGGUGGCGUGCACCUGUAAUCUCAACUACUCAGGAGGCUGAGGCAGGAAAAUCACUUGAACCCGGGAGGCAGAGGUUGCUGUAAGCUGAGAUUGUGCCACUGUACUCCAGCCUGGGGAGCAAGAGCAAAACUCCAUUUCAAAAAAAAAAAAAAAAGUUUACUAACGUGGUGUCUACUUGUCUCCUUCCUGUUAUGUCUUCUUUCUUUGGUUUCUUUCUAUCUUUUUAUGAGGGAGAGUUGAGGGAUGAGUGCUUAGUUAGGAGGCAAGGAGAUUCAAGGACUCAGGCUUGGAAAUUUACACCUCUGUGCCUUCUCUCCCACAGGUGAUAACCCCCGUGAGGACAGGCCAUGGCUACGUAUACGAGUACCCAUCCAGAUACCAAAAGGACGUCUAUGAUAUCCCUCCUUCUCAUACCACUCAAGGGGUGCGUACCAGAACAUGGUCACAAGAGGAGAAGCGCUUCUAAGGGUAGCAUUCCUUCAGGGCUGUAGAGAAAAGGGAGUUCACAAAUUAUGCAUUAAUAUAUGUCAUAUGAAGCUUUGUUUAGGUUGUCUACCCAGUAGCCACUUUAGCCAAUGCUAUUUAAAUUAUGUUUUCUGGAUUUGCUUUAUCAGGAAAUCCUAGUAUUUCACCCAAGAGAGCUUAUGUUCUUCUACAAUUUUGCUUCAGAAAGUAGAUUUUUCUUUUUUCUUUUUUUUUUUUUUAAGACAGAAUCUCACUUUGUUGCCCAGGCUGGAGUGCAGUGGCUCUAUCUCAGCUCACUGCAACCUCCACCUCCCAGGCUCAAGCAACUCUCCUGCCCCUGCCUCAGCUUCCCAAGUAGCUGGGACUACAGGCACACACACCACCAUACCUGACUAAUUUUUGUAUUUUGUAGGGACAGGCUUUUGCCAUGGUGGCCAGGCUGGUUUUGAACUCCUAACUGCAAGUGGUCUGCCCACCUCGGCCUUCCAAAGUGCUGGGAUUACAGGUGUGAGCCACGGCCCCCAGCUGGAAAGUAGAAAAUUUAAACUACACUUUAAAGUACAGACAGCGUAGAUAUUUCACAUAAGAUCUUUUUUUUUUUUUUUUUUUUUUUUUUUGAGACAGAGUCUUGUUCUGUCACCAGGCUGGGAGUGCAGUGGCACGAUCUCAGCUCACUGCAACCUCUGCCUCCCGGGUUCAGGCGAUUCUCCUGUCUCAGCCUCCCAAGUAGCUGGGACUACAGGUGUGCACCACCACACCCAGCUAAUUUUUGUAUUUUUAGUAGAGAUGGGGUUUUACCAUGUUGGCCAGGAUGGUCUCGAUUUCUUGACCUUGUGAUCUGCCCACCUCAGCCUCCCAAAGUGCUGGGAUUACAGGCGUGAGCCACCGUGCCUGGCCAAAAUCAUUUUUAUAUUAAAUGUAAGUUAAAAACCAUAAAAUGUAUUAAAAAAAAAGGCAAUAAAUCUGUUAUAACAUGGAGCACUGCCAAAGAUCAAGCUUGUACAUAACCUGGUAAAUAAAUCCAUAAUUAAGUGCUUAGGAGCAUAAAAAAUGACCAAGUAUAAGACAUUUCCAUUCUGGGUAACUCACGGGUUUCUCUUCAGGUAUACGACAUCCCUCCCUCAUCAGCAAAAGGCCCUGUGUUUUCAGUUCCAGUGGGAGAGAUAAAACCUCAAGGGGUGUAUGACAUCCCGCCUACAAAAGGGGUGAGUGAGUGACUACAAAGCAGCAAAAAGGAGUGUGUGUGUGUGUCUGUGUGUCGGGGGGUGCAGGGUUGGGAGGGUGGGUAAGUAGUUCACUCGAAUAAAACAAGAAAGGCAAACCCAAAAGGGGAAAAUGUAGUCUUGGUGAGAGUAAAGGAAGGAAGCAAAAAAGGAAAGGCACUAAUUAAAGAUAGCUCUAGGGAUUUCAUAUUGAGAAGCCCCAACUAAAAAACACUAGGUGGCCAAUAAGGAUAACCCUUUGGCAGGGAAGAUAAUUAGUUCAGUUUGGCAAGUACUAAUAUAUAUUUGUAGAGGGUUUGUUUUGUUUUGUUACAUUUUGUUUGAGACAGGGUCUCGCUCUGUCACCCAGGCUGGAGUGCAGUGGCGCAACCACAGCUCAUUGCAGUCUUUACUUCCCAGGCUCAAGCAAUCCUCCCACCUCAGGCUCCCAAGUAGCUGGGACCACAGGUGCACGCCACCAUGACUGGAUAAAUUUUAUUUUUUGUAGAGACGGUGUCUCCCUAUGUUGCCCAGGCUUGUUUUGAACAUAUGGGCUUAAAUGAUCCUACUACCUUGGCCUCCCAAAGUGCUGAGAUUACAGGCUGAGCCGCGCCUGGCCUGUAGAGGGUUUGACAGUUUCCUCAGUGUGUAUGUUUGAGUGAACUCGUUUGACUCACUCUGUUACCCUAUGGGGUAUGCCUGCACAGGAGGCACAGUAAUCCCUACUUUACAGACAAGGGGACUGUGUUUCAGACGCCUAUGCAGCUCAUUCAGCAUCACACAGCUGGUGUGAUAACCAAAAAGACCGGGGGAGAACUCUGGUCUUACUCUGCCUCUCGGCACAGAUCAGCAGAGAAAGGAUACCCAGGAGGUGGUCAGAAACACAGGACUGGAAACACAGGGUGAGCAAUUUAGCCAGGAGGGUUGUACAUACGAGUCUGCACCAAGAACGUGGGGUUGGACACACUUGGCAAAGGACAAGGGAAGUGACAGCAGAAUAACGGGGAACCUUGGAAGUGCCUAACAUUGGGGCGGGGGAGGGCGACCGAAAAAGUGCCAGCAAAUAGGACUGAGCACAUGGGACCACAGGUUCCCAUGAGCCAACUCAAUAAAUAGCAUUUCGCUUUCUACUUGCUUUGCAGGUAUAUGCCAUUCCGCCCUCUGCUUGCCGGGAUGAAGCAGGGCUUAGGGAAAAAGACUAUGACUUCCCCCCUCCCAUGAGACAAGCUGGAAGGCCGGACCUCAGACCGGAGGGGGUUUAUGACAUUCCUCCAACCUGCACCAAGCCAGCAGGGAAGGACCUUCAUGUAAAAUACAACUGUGACAUUCCAGGAGCUGCAGAACCGGUGGCUCGAAGGCACCAGAGCCUGUCCCCGAAUCACCCACCCCCGCAACUCGGACAGUCAGUGGGCUCUCAGAACGACGCAUAUGAUGUCCCCCGAGGCGUUCAGUUUCUUGAGCCACCAGCAGAAACCAGUGAGAAAGCAAACCCCCAGGAAAGGGAUGGUGUUUAUGAUGUCCCUCUGCAUAACCCGCCAGAUGCUAAAGGCUCUCGGGACUUGGUGGAUGGGAUCAACCGAUUGUCUUUCUCCAGUACAGGCAGCACCCGGAGUAACAUGUCCACGUCUUCCACCUCCUCCAAGGAGUCCUCACUGUCAGCCUCCCCAGCUCAGGACAAAAGGCUCUUCCUGGAUCCAGACACAGCUAUUGAGAGACUUCAGCGGCUCCAGCAGGCCCUUGAGAUGGGUGUCUCCAGCCUAAUGGCACUGGUCACUACCGACUGGCGGUGUUACGGAUAUAUGGAAAGACACAUCAAUGAAAUACGCACAGCAGUGGACAAGGUGGAGCUGUUCCUGAAGGAGUACCUCCACUUUGUCAAGGGAGCUGUUGCAAAUGCUGCCUGCCUCCCGGAACUCAUCCUCCACAACAAGAUGAAGCGGGAGCUGCAACGAGUUGAAGACUCCCACCAGAUCCUGAGUCAAACCAGCCAUGACUUAAAUGAGUGCAGCUGGUCCCUGAAUAUCUUGGCCAUCAACAAGCCCCAGAACAAGUGUGACGAUCUGGACCGGUUUGUGAUGGUGGCAAAGACGGUGCCCGAUGACGCCAAGCAGCUCACCACAACCAUCAACACCAACGCAGAGGCCCUCUUCAGACCCGGCCCUGGCAGCUUGCAUCUGAAGAAUGGGCCGGAGAGCAUCAUGAACUCAACGGAGUACCCACACGGUGGCUCCCAGGGACAGCUGCUGCAUCCUGGUGACCACAAGGCCCAGGCCCACAACAAGGCACUGCCCCCAGGCCUGAGCAAGGAGCAGGCCCCUGACUGUAGCAGCAGUGAUGGUUCUGAGAGGAGCUGGAUGGAUGACUACGAUUACGUCCACCUACAGGUAAAACAGCGGAACUCAUAAAACACCUACACUCACUCACAUGCAGGGAGCCUGAGAAAGAUGCCUAUAAGGAUGUCGGGUUGGACUGCCAAAGGAGAGAACAUAAUUAAUGUUAAUCUACAUGGUUCACAAAUUGGAGGGAGUGUCGUAGAGUAGUAAGAACGCUGGGCUGAGAGUCCUGAGUACUCACUCAGAUCUAGCCCUUUCUCUGACGUUUACUGUGUGACCAACUUAUUCAACCUCCUUGGGCCUUAAUUUCCUCAUUUGCAAAAUGAAUGGGGUAAGGGGUUGGAUUAGAUCCCGUUGAUAUACCUCAGGUAAGAGGAGACUCACCAAGUAGGAUAAUAGGCCCUCUAAUAAUAAUACCAGCUCCACUUCUAUUUGUGUUUUAUGUAUAGUUCCAUGCAAUAUUUUAUUUGAAAAAAAAGUUUUCGUCAUUAAGAAAAAGAAUAGAAGACCUUUGCACCAGAGAAUUUCUAAGGCCCCUGCUAGCCCUACUCUGUGUAUGUGUGUGUAUAAUUGCUUUAAAACUUAGCCCCAUCUCAGACUUACCUAGAGGACCACUGGGCAUUAGCUAGCUGUCCUAGGAGCUUAAUCUGUGUAUGGGACAUUGGAUAGUCACAGUUGGCCUCCUACAAUUGGGAAUUCUACCAAGCUCCAAGUUGACCUGGGAUUCCGACAGCUUUCCCUUCCACUUUGAGGGAUUAAAACAUUCUACUGGCUGGGCGCAGUGGCUCACGCCUGUAAUCCCAGCACUUUGGGAGGCUGAAGCAGGUGGAUCACAAGGUCAGGAGUUCAAGACCAGCCUGGCCAAUAUGGUGAAACCCCAUCUCUACUAAAAGUACGAAAAUUAGCCAGGCAUGGUGAUGCACGCCUGUAGUCCCAGCUACUUGGGAGGCCGAGGCAGAAGAAUCACUUGAACCUGGGAGGCGGAGGUUGCAGUGAGCUAAGAUCGUGCCACUGGACUCCAGCCUGGGCGACAGAGCGAGACUCUGUCUCAGAAAAAAAAAAAAAAAUCUACCAAGAUCCAUUGUUUAGGACUAGGCUUACUAUCUUAUUCUGCCAUUCUUUUAAUUUGACUGAGAGUCACAGAUUAUACUGAGAACUACGUAACUAUUAUGCCAAAUUCCCUCAAGCGCAAGAAAGUGUGGCAAGGAGAACUGAGCCCCACCUGAUGCUGAGGAAGGAAGUGGAGAGAGAGAGGAUGGAGGCAUUGAACAUUCAUCUUACUGGUUGUCUGACCCUGCACAGUGGGAACUACUGCCUUGGAGCAGAAAUCUAUAGAUGAUUUGAGGGAACUAGAAGUGAGAGGUGGACCACAUUUAGACCUGCAUUUGGGGGUUUACAGGUUCACAUAUAAUCUAUGAGAAAAGAACCCAGAGACUAUAAAAAGAACAUUAUAUAUGAGAUUUGAAGGGAAUCAUGAGUAGCUCUCCGAAAAUUUUAAGGUGCCCCAGAAAGCUGGCACCCUAUAUGGCAAUGGGCUUUAUUUUUCUGCCACCCCUGUCGUCUAGGGUUCACAGUGCCUCACUGGGCAUUUGAGAUGUUGCCAAGGCAGUGGAAAAUAAAGAGUAUUUACUCAUCCGUCAAUGAAAUUGUUAGCAUAAGUGAAUCACAGUGAUGACAUAAUAUGUUCUUUAUGUUGAAAAUUAACAGGGUAAGGAGGAGUUUGAGAGGCAACAGAAAGAGCUAUUGGAAAAAGAGAAUAUCAUGAAACAGAACAAGAUGCAGCUGGAACAUCAUCAG